GGUUGGAGACUUGGAAAAUCCAAGUCACUGAGUGGGAUCGGCUAUAUGAAUCUUAGAACGCCAUUGUGCUCGAUCCUGUGUCAUGUCCUUCGUUAGAUCCAAGUACUCUAAGUCUUUUCUUAGAGUCUCUUCCAAAGUUUUCCUAGGUCUUCCUCUACCCCUUCGGCCCUGAACCUCUGUCCCAUAGUCGCAUCUUCUAAUCGGAACGUCAGUAGGCCUUCUUUGCACAUGUCCAAACCACCGUAACCGAUUUUCUCUCAUCUUUCCUUCAAUUUCGGCUACUCCUACUUUACCCCGGAUAUCCUCAUUCCUAAUCUUAUCCUUUCUCGUGUGCCCACACAUCCAACGAAGCAUCCUCAUCUCCGCUACACCCAUUUUGUGUACGUGUUGAUGUUUCACCGCCCAACAUUCUGUGCCAUACAGCAUCGCCGGCCUUAUUGCCGUCCUAUAAAAAUUUUCCCUUGAGCUUCAGUGGCAUACGGCGGUCACACAACACGCCGGAUGCACUCUUCCACUUCAUCCAUCCAGCUUGUAUUCUAUGGUUGAGAUCUCCAUCUAAUUCUCCGUUCUUUUGCAAGAUAGAUCCUAGGUAACGAAAACGGUCGCUCUUUGGUAUUUCUUGAUCUCCGAUCCUCACCCCUAACUCGUUUUGGCCUCCAUUUGCACUGAACUUGCACUCCAUAUAUUCUGUCUUUGAUCGGCUUAGGCGAAGACCUUUAGAUUCCAACACUUCUCUCCAAAGGUUAAGCUUUGCAUUUACCUCUUCCUGAGUUUCAUCUAUCAACACUAUAUCGUCUGCGAAAAGCAUACACCAAGGAAUAUCAUCUUGAAUAUGUCGUGUUAACUCAUCCAUUACCAACGCAAAAAGGUAAGGACUUAAGGAUGAGCCUUGAUGUAAUCCUACAGUUAUGGGAAAGCUUUCGGUUUGUCCUUCAUGAGAGUUCUUACGGCAGUCUUUGCUCCUUCAUACAUAUCCUUUAUAGCUUGGAUAUAUGCUACUCGUACUCCUUUCUUCUCUAAAAUCCUCCAAAGAAUGUCUCUUGGGACCCUAUCAUACGCUUUUUCCAAAUCUAUAAAGACCAUGUGUAAAUCCUUUUUCCCAUCUCUAUAUCUUUCCAUCAAUCUUCGUAAGAGAUAGAUUGCCUCCAUGGUUGAGCGCCCUGGCAUGAACCCGAAUUGGUUGUCCGAAACCCGUGUCUCUUGCCUCAAUCUAUGCUCAAUGACUCUCUCCCAGAGCUUCAUUGUAUGACUCAUUAGCUUAAUACCCCUAUAGUUCAUGCAAUUUUGUACGUCGCCCUUAUUCUUGUAGAUAGGCACCAAAGUGCUCAUUCGCCACUCAUUUGGCAUCUUCUUCGUUUUCAAAAUCCUAUUGAAAAGGUCAGUGAGCCAUGUUUAUACCUGUCUCUCCCAAAAGUUUCCACACUUCGAUUGGUAUAUCGUCUGGGCCUAUUGCUUUUUUAUGCUUCAUCUUCUUCAAAGCUACAACCACUUCUUCCUUCCGGAUUCGACGAUAAAAAGAGUAGUUUCUACACUCUUCUGAGUUACUCAACUCCCCUAAAGAAGCACUCAUUUCAUGUCCUUCAUUGAAAAGAUUAUGAAAAUAACCUCUCCAUCUGUCUUUAACCGCGUUCUCUGUAGCAAGAACCUUUCCAUCCUCAUCCUUGAUGCACCUCACUUGGUUUAGGUCCCUUGUCUUCUUUUCCCUUGCUCUAGAUAGUUUAUAGAUAUCCAACUCUCCUUCUUUGGUAUCUAGUCGUUUAUACAUAUCGUCGUAAGCCGCUAACUUAGCUUCUCUGACAGCUUUCUUCGCCUCUUGCUUCGCUUUUCUAUACCUUUCACCAUUUUCAUCAGUCCUCUCCUUGUAUAAGGCUUUACAACAUUCCUUCUUAGCCUUCACCUUUGUUUGUACCUCCUCAUUCCACCACCAAGAUUCCUUUUGGUGUGGGGCAAAGCCCUUGGACUCUCCUAAUACCUCUUUUUGCUACUUUUCGGAUACAACUAGCCAUGGAAUCCCACAUUUGGCUAGCUUCCCCCUCUCUAUCCCACACACAUUGGGUGAUUACCUUCUCUUUGAAAAUGGCUUGUUUUUCUUCUUUUAGAUUCCACCAUCUAGUCCUUGGGCACUUCCAAGUCUUGUUCUUUUGUCUUACUCUUUUUUGAUAUGUACAUCCAUCACCAACAAGCGAUGUUGAUUAGCCACGCUCUCUCUUGGUAUAACUUUGCAAUCCUUACAAGUUAUACGAUCCCCUUUCCUCAUUAGAAGAAAAAUCUAUUUGUGUUUUUGACGACCCACUCUUGUAGGUGAUCACAUGUUCUUCUCUCUUCUUAAAGAAGGUGUUGGCUAAGAAGAGAUCAUAUGCCAUUGCAAAAUCCAAGAUAGCUUCCCCAUCCUCGUUUCUCUCCCCAAAACCAUGGCCACCAUGAAAACCUCCAUAGUUGCCUGUCUCCCUACCCACGUGUCCAUUUAAAUCUCCUCCUAUAAAUAACUUCUCCGUCUGAGCAAUUCCUUGCACCAAGUCUCCAAGAUCUUCCCAAAAUUUCUCCUUCGAACUCGUAUCCAACCCUACUUGAGGUGCGUACGCACUAAUCACAUUGAUAAGUUCUUGUCCUAUUACAAUCUUGAUUGCCAUGAUUCUAUCUCCUACCCUCUUGACAUCUACAACAUCUUGUACCAAGGUCUUGUCCACGAUGAUGCCAACACCGUUUCUCGUUCUAUUUGUGCCCGAAUACCAAAGUUUAAACCCUGAGUUUUCUAGAUCCUUUGCCUUACUACCAACCCACUUAGUUUCUUGUAGGCACAUAAUAUUUAUCCUUCUCCUCACCAUAACUUCCACUACUUCCAUAGAUUUUCCCGUUAAGGUUCCUAUAUUCCACGUUCCUAAACGCAUUUUGCUCUCUUGAACUCUACCCUUCUGUCCUAGCUUCUUCACCCUCCCCCGUCUAAUAGGAUCAAAGUACUUCUUUUGUGUGUCCCGGGUAAAGUUGAUAGGAGCAUAUGCUCCCAAACAACUUUGAGUGGAGUCGUUCGAAAAGAAGUUUCUAUGGCCCCCUUGCUCAUUUAACACUGCAUCCGGGUGCCGAUGGAGAUACAGCGACCCUUGCUCACUUAUCACUGUGCUCAGGCCACACAGCGCGCCACUUACGGGUGACGCCCUAGCUUUAGCGCGAUUUUGUUCUGGAUUCAUUUUCAUAAGGAUUCGACGUGAUCAUGGAGUGCCGGCUGUCGACUACCUGACGCCCUCCCCCUCCUCCUUUAUCCGGGCUUGGGACCGGCCAUGUAAGACAUAGGCGGAGUUACUAAGUAGUCCCAGACUAUUGAAGAAAAAUUGCAUAAUACAUAAAAGAAAAUUAGAGGUGAUACGUACCAGCUCAAGUGCGUUGCUUAUGUUGUCCUCAUUAGCUAGAAUGGUGUCGAAAACGUUUAAAUUUUUCUUGUUGAAUGACAUUAUAUCAAUUUUAGCAUCAAGUAUAGAAUCAUAAGCCGCGUAGCGGUGUUUGGGAUAAUGAGCAAGGUAAUGAAGAGGUGCAUUGCCAUUAGCAUCCUUGUCAUUUAAGAGGAUGUUGCUAAGCCACAGAUCCGUUAACACAAAAUCAACUACGUCAACUUGAUAGCUCUUUAUGGCAUAGUGAAGCACAUUCUGACAUUGGUUGUCGACCAGUUCACAACAAUCAGGGCAAUGAGUAAGAAGCUCUUUCAUUAUAUCUAGAUGGCCUUUGGACGCUGCAAAGUGAAGAGCUGUGCGCCCAUCAUUGUCAGCAACGUAGGCGGUCGAUUUAUCACAUUCCAAUAGUUGCUUAACCAUUGACAAGUAACCAAAAUCUGCAGCCAUGUGAAGCGGAAUGCCUCCUUGUUCGUCUGCUGCUUUUGCCAGAGUUCUAUCCGAUUUUAGUAAUGCUCUCGUCAUUACUUAAGUAUAAAAGAAAAACAAAACACAAAUAAAUACUUCAAGAAACAAAUGUAUUAAUGAAACAUGAAAUGAAAGAUAAAAGGGAUUAGUUUUUUUAAAACUAUUUUCUAUAUACAUUUACCUUCAUCAUUGCGGAUAAUUGCAGCGUACAAAGCCGUUCUACCAUUUGGGCCUUCAUAAGUUGGAUUUUUGCAACCUUCAAGUAUUUGAAGACAAUAAUGAGUGUAUCCCCUCUCGACAGCUAGGUAAAGAGGAGUCUCGCCGGCAUCAUUAGGAGAGUAGGAAAACUCAGGGUCUUCUUUGGUUAAUACCUCCACCACACCAAAGUAAUUAAAGCGUACAGCUUCGUGCAGCGCUGUGUCCUUCUUGUUGUUGGUUUUCCUGAUGAGUUUUUGCUCCUGCAAGGCGGCAUCUUCUGAUGAGAUCGCACAGCCUUGCUCAAGGUCACCUUGAUAAUAAGUUUUUGUAGCUAGGAGGAGAGCUCUAACUAUACCAGCACGCCCAUAUCUUGCCGCAAUGUGUAGGGCAGUAUCACCACUAUCGUUCUGCUGCCAUAGUAAUGCUGGACACAUUUUAAGGAUACCGUCCACAGUGUUCGUUGACUUGAGUAUCUCGUCCUCAGAUUCUUUGAACGUUGGGCGCCUAUAGCAUGCUGUAUAGAUAUGAAGGACUGUGUUCUUGGUUGCAGUCAAUAUUUUGUCCAGAUUCUCGCCAUGUUCCUUAAGGACAUUGAGAUUGCCUUGUUUUGCAGCAUUGAAAAUAUCACGAUCCAUGUUACUUAUAAAAACUGUACUAUUGUUCCCUUCUAAUUUUGCGGCUUCUUGGACGUCGGCCUGAUCUGCUAGCUCGAUCUGGUCACCGACAUCGGUUGAUGCUAACGGAGUAAUAGGACUCUCCGACUGAUUAGCCACAUUGGAGGCAUCCAUGCUCUUUUGUGUGGGGGGGGGGGGUUGGUUGGUGAGAAGAGUGGUUCUGGAGGGAAGGAAAAAUUACAAGAAGGCCAGUUCUGUUGACUAGUUCAAGCUGCAACCUGUUGGAGUUUAUGUUGAGAAAAUUAGAGUACACAAUUCGAAUAUAAAUGUUGGAGAGACAAAAUCAGUAAAGAAAUUACUUGUAUUACAUUUUAAAUAUUACAACAUACAAUUCUCAAAGACACAAUUUUAGAAGUUAUGACACUCUUAUUUUUUAAAGGCAAACUCUAGAUGACUCACUUCUCACAAAAACUACUCCCUAACAACACCACUCUUACUUAAGUGGAACCCACUUCUUGGUUUUUUGCUUGCUUCUUUUUUCGGUUCUUUGCUUUGCUUUUUUUUUCUUUUUCUUUUUCUUGCUUGCUUCUUUUUUUUGGUUCUUUGCUUUGCUUUUUUUUUUUUUUUUUUUUUUUUGUUCUUUGCUUGCUUCUUUUUUUGGUUCUUUGCUUUGCUUCUUUUAUUGUUUCUUGUCUUGGUUGAUUGCUUAUCUUCAUUGAUUCAAAUGGGAUGGAUGCCUUCUCCUUUUGUAGGCAUGAAUGGAACCUUGGAUAUGUCAUAUGUACGAUUUGAAUUCAUGACCUCUCCUAUCAAAGUGGAGCAACAAGGUGCCAUCGAACGAUUACUAACAAUGAACGACUUUAGAUUAAAAAUCAAGUGCAUCAAAGAUAAUUAGAGAAACUACGUUAAGAGUUUCAACAACAACAACAAUAGAGCUUUAUUCCAUUAAGUGAGGUCAACUGUAUGAAUCCUAGAACUCUACUGCGCUUGGUUUUGCACUAAGUCUUCUGUUAGCUCCAAGUAUUUCAUGUCUUUUCUUAGAGUCGUUUUCCAAGUCUUCCUAGGUUUUUCUUUACCCAUUUACCCUAAGCCUUGCUCUCAUAAUUGCAUCUUCUAAUUGGAGCAUCGGUUGGCUCUUGGUUCAUAUGUACAAACCACCUUAACUGAUUUUCUCUAAAAAAAAAGAGUUUCCAUUUCUAAUUUUCUUUGGACCCAUACCUCUUUGAUGUAGGCAACUUUGCUAUCUGGCGUAUUUCGCUACAUGCUGUAAACAUGAACUUAGCUAUCAGCAUCACAAGGCCACUAAACAUGUGAUUCAGGAAAUGUGGCCCCUUGAGUAUUUUUCUUUCAUUAGAAAGAAGGGAAUUUGCCAAGACAAGAAGAAAAAGAAGCCAAACACAAAAGCCGCUAUGGCGAGUCCGGUAGAAGGGCCAGCCAUCAAGUACUGCAUAUGUGACGGUAAUGAACGAAACCACCAUCGCAAUCAAAGCCCACAAAAUUGAAGAUACCACCCUGAAAAACGUGUCAGAUAUCCCAUUCUCAUAAUUUGGAUUUGUGUAGACGGAGGAAUAAAGGAGCACCAGGACGGAACAACUAGACACGGCCAUGGCUAUUUUAUCUGUUAUCACGAAUGCUUUGAACGCUGCACUUCUUGAUAGAACUAUGGCACCCUGGUCAAGUCCCUUCUCACUUUGGUAACCACCAGGCAUGGUAAAACCGGCUGCGAAUGUUACAGUUGCUAUAUCAAGGUAGCCACUAGCAGAUGUGUUUCUUUUGCUUUAUUCCAACUUUUUCCGAUUUCCUUGGAACCUUGAUUUUCUUCCACUUUAUCGCGACCAUCUCUGUGAUUCUUGAUUCUGUGACCUGGUCUACCACCCCGCUUUUGCAAUUGCACUUUAUGAUUUUCCUGCAAGACAGAAAAGUAUGACAAUGUGCCGGAAAACAUAACUCAAGUUUUUCGGACACAAGCAGUAGAAGGUGAUGACUACUGAGUAUGUACCUGCUCUUAUGAUAUGCUUAUCUUGUCCUCAUUAGCUAGAAUGAUAUCAAAGGCGUUGAAGUUUUCCUGGUUGAACAUCAUUCCCGAUAUUCGAAUUUAAAAUCUCUUGUUUAUAAAAGAAAGGGAAUAUCAGUAGUCAAUAUUACUAAGACGUUUUAAAAAUCAUUCAAAUCAAAUAUCUAGAAUUAUAUUUCUUUUUGUUAAAAAGGUUUAGGAGAAGCCACUUAGUACUACAGUCUAAUAGUAUUUUUCUUUACUUGUUGAAUGUCAUUCUCGGUAUUCGAAUUUAAGAUCUUUGUUUAUAAAUGAAAAGGAAUAUUAGUAGUCAAUAGUACUAAGACCUUUUAAAAACCAUUCAAAUCAAAUAUCUAGAAUUAUAUUUCUUUUUGUUAAAAAAGUUUAGGGGUAGCCACGUAGUGCUAAUAGUAUUCCUCUUCACUUGCAAGAACGUGGUUUUAGGUUCAAUUCUCGUCAAAGGUGAAUUUAAACCACAUAAUUGCUAGCCUAUUAUGAGUCUUAAUCUACUCCCCAUCUCCUUGGAGUAAAAAUAUCGUUUGUUAAAAAAAAAGUGUAGGAGAAGGGAACUCUAUCGCAUUUUAAGGCGUACAUGCCACAAAUCUCUUUGAAAACUUACAAUAACUGAAAACUCGUUAUUUAUAAGAUUUGGGCAAAAUUGGGCUUGUUUAAUUGGACCAUUGUCAAACAACUUGGGCUCAACAGGCCCAAUUGAAUCGGGGUUACCCGGUGGAGUUUUAGACUUGGUUCUGUAACAACUGACCCGAUUGCAGAGAAGCAUCGAAAAUCCGAAGCGAAGAAGGUGGUGUCUCGUACGGAUCGAGCAAGGAAGAAAUCAGACAUGGGAGAGGUAAUAGAAACCCUACCGGCGCACCGGAGCUCCUUCGCAGCUCCAAUUGUAUUCAUCGUCGUCGUCGCUUUCCAAAUCCUCUCUAGAUGGCUGGAACAGUUAAAGAAGGUAAUUUCCUCGACUAUUUUUAACUUGCAUUCAAACAAUUUAAUCCUAAUUUCUGUGCGAAGUUAGCUCUUAAUCUUUUUUUAUACUUUAAUUGCAUUUAUUCUGAAAUUAAAAUUUGAAGUUGGGUGAUUUGUUUUGUUGGCAGGGAGGAGUUAAGAAUGCUACGGCAACCCGAUUGCGUGGAGAAAUUAAAGACCUCUUGAAGGAGGCAAGCACCUUGUCACAGUGAGUGAUUUUUUAUUAUUUAAUCAUAUUUUUUCUCCAAUUUAUCAAAUGGAAUUUUAUUUAUUUAUACAUUUUUGGAUUUUCAGCAUUGUUUUGAUGCUUGCAGCUUCAAAUUUCUUAGCUUUAUAGUAUCAGGCGUUAGUUUGGAUUAUUUGCAGUUGCAUGAUCUUUGUUUUUGCCUGAAUCCAGGCCGUCGACAUUUGCGCAAGCUGCGAAACUUCGGAGGAUGGCAGCUGCGAAGGAGAAAGAACUUGCAAAUUGUUAGUUUGCAACUCCAGCCCUUGGAUUAUUGUUUAUGUUGAUCAUAUGUAUAAUUAUAUACAGGCAUUCCUAAAACACGUAUACUACGUAUAUAUGAUUGCAGAGAGUAAUUGUAUAUGACAUCCUUGGGCUCAAAGUUGUGUUUGUAUAAUGGCGUCCACGCAUUUUAUGAGUAUGAUGUUGUUAAGCAAAGUAUUGAAUGGCGAAGACAGUUUAGGUAGUUAUUCAAUGUCAUUACGUGCCGUCCAGAUCAAGAAUUACACGGCAAGGAGAUAAAACUUUCAUAUGAUUUGUAUCUGAGAAUUUUGUUCAUCUUAAAGGUAGUUCUCAGUAUUUUGAAUUUUCGAAAUAUUUAUUAGCUUUCUUCGAUAACAGGGAAUUGCCUGAGCUAGGGUUCUUAAAAGAUACACUUGGUUGUCCAUUUAGGUCUUGACAUAUAUUGUACUGGUUUGCUGGUUUUGGAGGGUUCCUGUUGCCUCCAUAUCGCAACAACUUGUGCAACCCUUUGGUAACGUGUUCUCGAUCCAAAUUUACUUUUCGAGUCCCCUCUUUCCUAUUGAGACAGUACAUCUAUAACAAUUGAUAGAAGUUACUGAUUACUAUCUCUUGUUGCCCUGCAGGGAAGCUGAUAUCAUGGAGGGCCGGAGGAAUUGUAAACGAAAAUGUUAUGGUAAAUAAAGUUGGAAUUACUUUUGAUCGUUACUUGUCAUAUAUUAUGGUAAAUAAAGUUGGAAUUAAUUUUGAUCGUUACUUGUCAUAUAUUAAAGGUGCCUUAAAUAAAUGAUCUAAAAAAUGCCAGUCUCUUAUCACUUCUGUAAGAGUAUCUAUAUUUGCUGGCACUCUAAUGUCUCGUCAAUACUAUGUAGUGUCACUUUCGUGUUUAGACUUCCGAUGUUUGCAUAUUACGUAUCUCGAAGAGAUAGGCAUUGCUUAGCAUGCGAUAUAGAGGAAUCUUAAGCAUGGUUUUGAGUAUUGCUUCUGAUCCUUCAUGAUUUGUUUUUGCAGGUAGGAAUUAUUCCUUGGUUGAUAUUAUCUACCAGGGUUAGCAAGUUCGUAUGUCGACUUGCCAAGUUCUAGAGUUUAAAUUAUUCGUGUCCUGUCAAGUUUUUAUUGUACCGACGGAAACAUGAUUUUGUUCUGUCAUUUACUCCACAAUGUUUAGUCAUGAACUUAAGAUUGUUACCUACUCGUGUAAUUUGUACCAGUAGCGUGCAUUACUCUUUCGGUUGUCUGUGAAAUUGAGUUUAUCGUUGUAGUAUGCUAAAGGUUGUGCAAAUGCAGCAGCUCUUACAUCACAAUACAUACUUACAUAUAUAUAUAUAUAUAUAUGUUCCAAAUUUUUGAACAUUGCCAACUCACAAACUUAUCUACAAUGGAGCUAGAAGACAAACAAUUAACCUAACACCAUUUGCAAAUUUAAUCUGGACAGUACACUUGUCACUUGAUUACUACUAAACUUUAAAACUAAAGUAAACUUGUUGCUGCUUCUGCUACUUCUGUUGUUUCGAAUUCCAGUUACCAGAAACGAUUUAGGCUCCAACAGCUACUCGGUCGGCCGAGGCCUGUAUGUUCCCCUCAAGAGCAUCGAGUUAAGCAGCGAAAUACAUGAGUUACUUAUUAGCAAUACAAUGCCUGAAUACAAAUGGUGCAGGAAAUGCGGGGCCUUUAGUAUUUUUCUUUCUAAAGAAAGAAUGGAAUGUGCAAAGAAAUAGAAGAAAAAGCAACCAAGCACAAGAACUGCAAUGGCUAAUCCCGGAGAAUGACCACCAAGUACUGCGUAUGUGCCAGUAACGAAUGCAAUCACCAUUGCAAUCAAAGCCAACAUUGUCAAAGUUACUACCAUUUGAAACGUCUCAGAGAUUUGGGUCAUGUACUUUCCUUUUGUGUGAAUGGAGGAAUACAGGAGCACCAGGACAGAACAACUAGACAGGGCCAUGGCUAGUGUAUCUGUUAUAACAAAUGCUUUGAACGCUGUGUUUUUUGAUAGAAUUGGGGAACCCUGGUCCGAUCCUCCUCCGCUUUGGUAACCACCGGGCAUGGUAAAACUCGCAGCAAAGGUUACGGUUGCUAUCAGUGUAGCCACCACCAGAUGGGUUUCUCUUGCUUUCGUUAUUCCUACUCCAGUGUCUUUGCCACCUUGGUGUUCCUCCUCCACUUCAUUGCCAUCAGCGUUGUGGCUUUUAAUUCUGUAACCUGGUCCACCACCCCUUACUUGCAAAAGUUUUUUUAAAUCUUCCUGCAAGACAUAAAAGAUUAAUGUUAUCUUCACAGACAAAUCUAAGGAUGAAGUUUAUGACCACCCUUAUUAUUGGUUAUGUAAUUGUACGGACAAGUUAUCCUUAUUUGGAUAGCUUAGGAUUUACUUCAUGGACAGAGCCGGAAAGUUUUUUUUUUCAGUGGGGUAACAUAGUAACAGGCUUCUCUUCUGUAGUCUAGGACUCUAGUCUACUGAGUAGCCCAACUUUUUAAACAGUUUCACCAUUCGAUUUCUUAGCAUCAGUCUUCACCGUCCAAUUUAGGACUACUCAAUAGUCCCAGACAGUUGAAGAAAAAGUGCAUAAUAACAUAAAAGAAAAUUAGAGGUGAUACGUACCAGAUCAAGUGCGUCACUUAUGUUGUCCUCAUUAGCUAGAAUGUUGUCGAAAGCGUUUAAGUUUUUCUUGUUGAAUGACAUUAUAUCAAUUUUCGCAUCAAGUAUAAUAUCAUUCUUCCAGGGGAAGGGAUACUGAGCAAGGUAAUGGAUAGGUGCAUUGCCAUGAGCAUCCUUGUCAUUUAAGAGUAUGUUGCUAAGCCACAGAUCCGUUAACACAAAAUAAACUACGUCCUCUUGAUGGCUCUUUAUGGCAUAGUGAAGCACAUUUUGACAUUUGUUGUCGACCAGUUCACAACAAUCGGGGCAAUGAGUAAGAAGCUCUUUCAUUAUAUCUAGAUGGCCGUCGGACGCUGCAAAGUGAAGAGCUGUGCGCCCAUCAUUAUCAGCAACGUAGGCGGUAGAUUUAUCACAUUCCAAUAGUUGAUUAACCAUUGAAAAGUAACCAAAAUCUGCAGCCAUGUGAAGCGGAAUGCAUCCUCGUUCGUCUGCUGCUUUUGCCAGAGUUCUAUCCGAUUUUAGUAAUGCUCUCGUCAUUACUUAUGUAUAAAAAGAAAAAGAAAACACAAAUAAAUACUUCAAGACACAUGUAUUAAUGAAUCAUGAAAUGACAGAUAAAAAGGAAUAUUCUUUAACUAUUUUUUAUAUACAUUUACCUUCAUCAUUGCGGAUAACUGCAGCGUGCAAAGCCGUUCUACCAUUUGGGCCUUCAUAAGUUGGAUUUUUGCAACCUUCAAGUAUUUGAAGACAAUAAUGAGUGUAUCCCCUCUCGACAGCUAGGUAAAGAGGAGUAUCGCCGGCAUCAUUAGCAGAGUAGGAAAACUCAGGGUCUUCUUUGGUUAAUACCUCCACCACACCACAACAACAACAACAAAGCCUUUUCCCACUAAGUGGGGUCGGCUAUAUGAAUCCUAGAACGCCAUUGCGCUCGGUUUUGUGUCAUGUCCUCCGUUAGAACCAAGUACUCUAAGUCUUUUCUUAGAGUCUCUUCCAAAGUUUUCCUAGGUCUUCCUCUACCCCUUUGGCCCUGAACCUCUGUCCCGUAGUCACAUCUUCGAACCGGAGCGUCAGUAGGCCUUCUUUGCACAUGUCCAAAUCACCGGAACCGAUUUUCUCUCAUCUUUCCUUCAAUUUCGGCCACUCCUACUUUACCUCGAAUAUCCUCAUUUCCAAUCUUAUCAUUUCUUGUGUGCCCACACAUCCCACGAAGCAUCCUCGUCUCCGCCACACCCAUUUUGUGUACGUGUUGAUGCUUCACCGCCCAACAUUCUGUGCCAUACAACAUCGCUGGCCUUAUUGCCGUCCUAUAAAAUUUUCCCUUGAGCUUCAGUGGCCUACGACGGUUACACAACCCGCCGGAUGCACUCUUACACUUCAUCUAUCCAACUUCUAUUCUAUGGUUGAGAUCUCUCUAAUUCUCCGUUCUCUUGCACGAUAUAUCCUAGGUAGCGAAAACGGUCGCUUUUUGUGAUCUUCGCUAGAUUGCUCCGAUCAUUAGUGUGGAUAAGUAUAUAAAUGGAUAUAGAUAGGAAAGCAAACACAAGAUGUACGUGGUUCACCCAGAUUGGCUACGUCCACGGAAUAGAGGAGUUCUCAUUAAUUGUGAAGGGUUUACACAAGUACAUAGGUUCAAGCUUUCCUUUAGUGAGUACAGGUGAAUGAUUUAGUACAAAUGACAUUAGGAAAUAUUGUGGGAGAAUGAUCUCGUAAUCACGAAACUUCUAAGUAUCGGAAUGUGGUAUCGUCUUGACUUGCCUUAUCUGUCUCACAGGUAGAUGUGGCAUCUUCUCUGGAAGUACUCUUCCUCCAUCCAGGGGUGGUAUCUUUAACUGGUGGAGAUGCACAAGGUAAUGUAUCAAUUUCACUUGAAGCUUACUUGUAGUUUCAGGCUUGGUCAAGCGCGAUACAAACCAUGUAGUAGGAGUCCCUCAAGUUGCCGAGCUAGGGGAUUUGCUGAAAGAGGUGACAGACAAGGUAAGCAAUCAGAGCUCCGGCUGAUUGUUCACAUUCUCCCUAUCUUGCAGGCAGCAUGAAGGAUAAAGAGAAGAAAAAUGAGAAGAGAUGAUAUGGGAUACUUUUGCUUUUGAAGAAGUAACUUUCCACAGGCUUAUUCUUGAACUGAGCUGGAGGGUUUUCUGGUUUCCUCCAGAGUAUAAGGCCGACUGAAGAAUUUGAGGGUCAAAACAAGUCCAUCAAAUCUAGAGUACGUUCGACCCCUACUGAUAUGGGAUACUUUUGCUUUGACAGAGUAAUGGAUGUAUCGGCACGUGUGCUGUUACGCUUGUCUCCACAUGCUUCCUUGUAUCCUUCUCACUUGCCCUAUCUGUUCCUCAGGCAGAUGCGGUAUCUUCCCUGAAAGCAUAAGAUGUUGAAGAUGAGUACUCGAGAGCAAUGCCAGGUAAGUAAGUUCCAGGCAGUCAGUUCCUGGCUGGAAGCUUGAUUCCAAGUGCUGACUGAUUGCUCUCUUUCUCCUUGUCUUGCAGGUAAGAACAAGGCCAAAGGAAAAGACAGGGAAAAAGCAUGAUAUGGGAUACUCUUGCUUUUAACCCUGAUGAUAUGAGAUAUUCUUGCUCUAGUAUAACUUGUUUGCAGAGGUAUUAUCGGGGGGAAAGAAAGCUGAAUAUUUCGAAAGGCUUCGUUGAGAGUGCCCUCUCAUAUAUGAGGAAGGGUUGAGCAUUUUUGCAGGUCUGUCUGUCCGUUGGGGAUGGAGGUUGACAUAUAUAGGAGUCUCCUUAACAACAAGUAGUAAUGCUAUUCCUUUACCCUGUCAGAGCACUUUGAAAAAGUGGUCUGUGGUAUGUGGAAAGCUGAUGUUGCGUGUGAAGAUUACAGACAGCUUUAUCCAAGGAGAUCCGGCUCUUGUAGUUGGGAAAGUGUUGCCUCUUCGGUUUUCGAACAAGCAAUCCUAUCAGGGAUCUGGCUCUCGAGAUUCGGAGAACGAUGUCUCUUCGAUUUUUGAGAAAGCAAUCCUGCUGGGGGUCUGGCUCUCGAGAUUCGGAGAGCGGUGUCUCUUCGAUUUUUGAGAAGGUAAUCAUGUUGGGAGUCUGGCUCUCGAGAUUCGGAGGGCGGUGCCUCUUCGAUUUUGGAGCAAGCAAUCUUGUUGGGAGUGUUUUCUCGAAUGUGAGUAAAGGUUGGGCAUGUUUGCUAGUCUACCUUGCCACGAAGCACAGAGGUUGACACACAGGGACUUUCCAAUUAUCCAGCAAUGGUAUUGUUCCUUUACCCUCUCUUCGAUUUUUGAGAAAGUAGUCAUGUUGGGAGUCUGGCUCUCGAGAUUCGGAGGACGGUGCCUCUUCGAUUUUGGAGCAAGCAAUCUUGUUGGGAGUGUUUUCUCGAAUGUGAGUAAAGGUUGGGCAUGUUUGCUAGUCUACCUUGCCACGAAGCACAGAGGUUGACACACAGGGACUUUCCAAUUAUCCAGCAGUGAUACUGUUCCUUUACCCUUGUGGGUAAUAAUAUGGGGUAGCUAGACCUUCAAAAUUUAUGUGUCUAAACUUUGUUAGUGCUGUUUCUUUGCUAUUCUUUUACCCGUCUUGGUCAGAGCGAUGUAGUGGAAGCUGCAAGCUUCACGUGCUCAACUUUGGCAGAGAACUUUGGCAAAGUUAUCUGUGAUACACAUGAGCUACUAUUGCGUGUGGGAAGUGGGUGAUUGAACAGUAAGACUCAUGUGCUUUCUACUUCACCAGAAGUCUUCGACAGAAUGCCCAUAAUUUCCGCAAAGCUGAGUGUGCGUGUGACAGGUGCUGCCAAGGCUGGAAAAGUAGGUGCCUCUUCGAUUUCUGAGAUCGGCCCUCGUGGUCUCUGAGCAGCCCAACUUUUGAGAAAGCAAGCGCCUCUUCGAUUUCUGAGAUCGGCCUUCGUGGUCUUUGAGCAGCCCAACUUUUGAGAAAGCAGACGCCUCUUCGAUUUCUGAGAUCGACCCUCGUGGUCUCUGAGCAGCCCAGCUUUUGAGAAAGCAAACGCCUCUUCGAUUUCUGAGCAGGCGCCUCUUCGAUUUCUGAAGCUCCGUCGAGUGCAGAUUUUUUUAUAGGGGCUGGCAUUAAGUUCCAAAGCACACUUGAAUCUCCACCAGUAGAAGCUCCAUUCUUACACUUCUAAGAUCUUGAUUUGUUCGACCUCUUCUCUCUUCAACACCUUUGAAAAUGUCUGGCCCCUCCGACCGUCGUUUUGACUUGAACCUUGUUGAAGAGGCAGCCCCGCCUUCUCCAGACAACAUAUGGCGCCCAUCCUUCGUCUCCCCUACUGGUCCUCUUACCGUUGGGGAUUCCGUUAUGAAGAAUGAUAUGACCGCUGCGGUGGUGGCCAGGAACCUUCUCACUCCCAAAGAUAACAGACUACUUUCCAAACGAUCUGAUGAGUUAGCUGUUAAGGAUUCUCUGGCUCUCAGUGUUCAGUGUGCAGGUUCUGUGUCUAAUAUGGCCCAACGCCUAUUUGCUCGAACCCGCCAAGUUGAAUCAUUGGCGGCUGAAGUGAUGAGUCUCAAACAGGAGAUUAGAGGGCUCAAGCAUGAGAAUAAACAGUUGCACCGUCUCGCACAUGACUAUGCUACAAACAUGAAGAGGAAGCUGGACCAGAUGAAGGAAUCUGAUGGUCAGGUUUUACUUGAUCAUCAGAGAUUUGUGGGUUUGUUCCAAAGGCAUUUAUUGCCUUCGUCUUCUGGGGCUGUACCGCGUAAUGAAGCUCCAAAUGAUCAACCUCUGAUGCCUCCUACUUCUAGGGUUCUGUCCAGUACUGAGGCUCCGAAUGAUCCCCCUCCGGUGCCUUCUCUUUCUGGGGCUCUACCGACUGCUGCGACUUCUCCUAAGCAACCUUUGUGAAGGCUCUCUCUUGUUUGUUUAUUUUGACUCAUGUAUAUGUACAUAUUUGUAGCUUAUCGGGGAUAUCAAUAAAUAAGCUUUCCUUCAUUUCAACGUAUUGUGUUAAAUACACCAAAGCCUUCUUCUCUAAGUUCUUUGAAUUUUCUUUUGUUGGAGCUUUGUGAGUGGAGCAUGUAGGUUGAGGUAGUGUUCCCUUAAUUUCCUGAGUGAGGAAAACUUCUCGGUUGGAGACUUGGAAAAUCCAAGUCACUGAGUGGGAUCGGCUACAUGAAUCUUAGAACGCCAUUGUGCUCGGUCCUGUGUCAUGUCCUUCGUUAGAUCCAAGUACUCUAAGUCUUUUCUUAGAGUCUCUUCCAAAGUUUUCUUAGGUCUUCCUCUACCCCUUCGGCCCUGAACCUCUGUCCCAUAGUCGCAUCUUCUAAUCGGAGCGUCAGUAGGCCUUCUUUGCACAUGUCCAAACCACCGUAACCGAUUUUCUCUCAUCUUUCCUUCAAUUUCGGCUACUCCUACUUUACCCCGGAUAUCCUCAUUCCUAAUCUUAUCCUUUCUCGUGUGCCCACACAUCCAACGAAGCAUUCUCAUCUCCGCUACACCCAUUUUGUGUACGUGUUGAUGCUUCACCGCCCAACAUUCUGUGCCAUACAGCAUCGCCGGCCUUAUUGCCGUCCUAUAAAAUUUUCCCUUGAGCUUCAGUGGCAUACGGCGGUCACACAAACACGCCGGAUGCACUCUUCCACUUCAUCCAUCCAGCUUGUAUUCUAUGGUUGAGAUCUCCAUCUAAUUCUCCGUUCUUUUGCAAGAUAGAUCCUAGGUAACGAAAACGAUCGCUCUUUGGUAUUUCUUGAUCACCGAUCCUCACCCCUAACUCGUUUUGGCCUCCAUUUGCACUGAACUUGCACUCCAUAUAUUCUGUCUUUUGAUCGGCUUAGGCGAAGACCUUUAGAUUCCAACACUUCUUUCCAAAGGUUAAGCUUUGCAUUUACCCAUUCCUGAGUUUCAUCUAUCAACACUAUAUCGUCUGCGAAAAGCAUACACCAAGGAAUAUCAUCUUGAAUAUGUCCUGUUAACUCAUCCAUUACCAACGCAAAAAGGUAAGGACUUAAGGAUGAGCCUUGAUGUAAUCCUACAGUUAUGGGAAAGCUUUCAGUUUGUCCUUCAUGAGUUCUUACGGCAGUCUUUGCUCCUUCAUACAUAUCCUUUAUAGCUUGGAUAUAUGCUACUCGUACUCCUUUCUUCUCUAAAAUCCUCCAAAGAAUGUCUCUUGGGACCCUAUCGUACGCUUUCUCCAAAUCUAUAAAGACCAUGUGUAAAUCCUUUUUCCCAUCUCUAUAUCUUUCCAUCAAUCUUCGUAAGAGAUAGAUUGCCUCCAUGGUUGAGCGCCCUGGCAUGAACCCGAAUUGGUUGUCCGAAACCCGUGUCUCUUGCCUCAAUCUAUGCUCAAUGACUCUCUCCCAAAGCUUCAUUGUAUGACUCAUUAGCUUAAUACCCCUAUAGUUCAUGCAAUUUUGUACGUCGCCCUUAUUCUUGUAGAUAGGCACUAAAGUGCUUGUUCGCCACUCAUUUGGCAUCUUCUUCGUUUUCAAAAUCCUAUUGAAAAGAUCAGUGAGCCAUGUUAUACCUGUCUCUCCCAAAACUUUCCACACCAAAGUAAUUAAAGCGUACAGCUUCGUGCAGCGCUGUGUUCUUCUUGUUGUUGGUUUUCCUGAUGAGUUUUUGCUCCUGCAAGGCGGCAUCUUCUGAUGAGAUCGCACAGCCUUGCUCAAGGUCGCCUUGAUAAUAAGUUUUUGUAGCUAGGAGGAGAGCUCUAACUAUACCAGCACGCCCAUAUCUUGCCGCAAUGUGUAGGGCAGUAUCACCACUCUCGUUCUGCUGCCAUAGUAAUGCUGGACACAUUUUAAGGAUACCGUCCACAGUGUUCGUUGACUUGAGUAUCUCAUACUCAGAUUCUUUGUACGUUGGGUGCCUAUAGCAUGCUGUAUAGAUAUGAAGGACUGUGUUCUUGGUUGCAGUCAACAUUCUGUCCAGAUUCUUGCCUUGUUCCUUAAGGACAUCGAGAUUGCCUUGUUUUGCAGCGUUGAAAACAUCAGGAUCCAUGCUACUUAUUAAAACUGUACUAUUGUUGCCUUCUAAUUUUGUAGCUUCUUGGACGGUGGUUUGAUCUGCUAGCUCGAUCUGGUCACCGACAUCGGUUGAUAGUAACGGAGUAAUAGGACUCUCUGAUUGAUCAGCCAGAUUGGAGGCAUCCAUGUUGAGGGGUGAAGAGUGAUGCAGGGGGCGGAGAAAGGCAAAAUUACAACAGGGCCAGUUCUGUUGACUAGUCCAAGCUGCAAUCUGGUGGAGGUUCAUCACAUUGUUCUUAUUAUAUAGUCCUAUACAAUUUUGUCGCAUAUGAGGUUAGGUGCAUAAUUCUACGUGUUUUGUUAUUUUUAAUCGUUGGAUUCCCUAAACACGCUCUAACCUUUAAGUGCUAGCAAACUAGUUUAAUAAACAUAGUACAUGACAAAAUUUCUCUCCCCUAUGAGAGCUCCUCUUCCCCGUGAGAGACUUUCUCACCAUCGUGUCAGUGCUUUUCGUUCUCUUUAAUCUGCGUCAGCACAUGCCCUAACUUUGGUUAGGGUCGGUGCUAGUCCCAUGUUUUUUAUGUGUGUUUUGAUUCGGUGGUUUGCUUGGUUUCAGUUCUUUUUUGCUCUUCCUGUUGCCUGCAAAUUUUCCUCCCCUUCCCUACAAUUUUCCCGAUCAUAUCCUCUAUUCUCUCCUUUUGCCUUUGAUUUCACCUUUUUGAGACUUAAACCCCCAUCCCCCGUUUCUUCCAUAAUCUUUGACUCAUCCACCACCCUCUUUGAUCUAUACCCCUCCACCAUCUGCAUCUUUUGGUUCCGCCACCUCUAUCCUCAAUUUCGGUCGGUUUCCGCCUCCGUUUACUACGCUUUGUCGCGCAUCUUUGGCAGGGUGUGUAGAGCUUGAGCUCGGUGCUUGCACCACCACCCUUGUUGACCAUUAUUGGUCCUGCCUGUUGUUCACCCUUGUUUGCGUGCUUCUUGUUCUUGUGGCGGCGGUUCUUGCUGGUUCAUUGAGGAUGUUCGUAAUCUUAGGUGAUCGUGUUGGGAGGCAGUUCGUGAAGAUUGUUAGGUGGUUCUUUGACAGCAGCAGGAAGACUAGUUUCCUAGGGUUUUUCUGUUUGUUUAGUUUGUGUGUGCUGGGCUCCAAGGGUGGGCUUGGGGCUUUGUCUUUUGUGUGUUUGUGGCCCAUUUUUGUAAUUGUGGUUGUGGUAAUGAAUUUUACCCUUUGUCAAAAAAAAAUAAAUAAAUAAACAUAGUACAUUGCAUACAAUGUAUGUAUUAUCAAAUGGUAGGCAAGUUGGUAUUACUUAAUCUAUAAUUUACGCGUGAUGCAGAUUAGAGAUCAGCUUGUUGAUAUUAUUUACGAGAGUUAGCAGAUGAGAAAGCGAUUUUUAUACACUUAUUUUUACAUCUUAAGAGACAAAUAAAAACAUGAAUAUGUAGGAUGAAAAAGAUGAAGUGAGAAAAUCAUUUUAAAACACUAUUUAUUAUGUUUUAAUUAAUUAAUUAAUAAUUCAUUUGUAAACUAGUCCUUUCCUGAGUAGAUUCCACGAUUUUAAAUUGUUCAAAUGUGUGCAUAGGAUGACAUUGAAAUAUGUAUUGAAAGUGCUAUUUAGGGAUUGGGAGCUUUGCCCAUGGAAACAAAAACACAAAAUACAUUUUAUAGAACUCCAGUAAUUUUGAAUCAUUUCAAGGAAAUAUAAAAAUUUAAACCCGAACAAACUUAGCCCAACAACAAGCAAACCAAAAUUCUAAAAUUUCAGCCAUGCCCCCAACUUGUUAUAUAACCAACGCCAAAACUACAAACUGACACCAUUUAUAAAAACUUCAAACUAAUUUUAGAUCCGUAAAAAUUAAUUUUUGCACUUCUGCAAUUUGGUCUUAUUAUAUUUCUAUAAAAUUCUGUUGCAUGUGAUGUGACACACCCCGACCUAAAUCAAAGUGUGCUGGCCGUCACAUGAGAGUGACGUAACCAUGUGCACAGUGCGGAAGCAAUAAUGAUAUAGAGAAAUACGAAUGAAUAAAAACCAAACUGACAGCAGUACUAGCUAAGAUAACGUGCUAGUGCGAGAUUAAGUGUGAAAUACACAACCAAAGUAUAAAUAGGCUAAGUGCAGUCAAGCAGGACAAGUACUAAUUAUACAACACUCAAAGGUGAUCCUACAUUUAUGAUGUUCUGUCAGAACCACCGUCGAAAUCCCCGUGAGCCACCAAAGCACUUCUACCUAAAACCUGGAGGGGCACAAAACAGAAAGUGUGAGUGGGCAAAAAUAAAGCUUUUCAAAAUCAUUUCAUUUCUCAAAAGUUCUAACCCCUCGUCGUAAAACCUGUAUAAUUUCCCAAAAAGAUAUAAUAUAUGCUAUAUCAGAAAUCAUGCUCAGGAUGAAAAUCCAUAGAAAUAUACCAUGCCAAAGUAUCUAAAUGAAAUGCCAUAAAUAAUCCAGUUAAAAUAUAUCAAUGCCAGAUAUCAUAUCAGCCGAAUCCACCUAACGUGACAUGCACGGCUAAGUCUAUAGCUCAUAAUCAAUCUCAACCAUAUCAAAUCAUGCACACGAGUCGGAACCACCUAAUGUGGUCUGCACGAUAGGGCUAGGUGUAAAAUAAAUAUGCUCUAGUGCUACGAUCACGUGAAGACUGUGCGAAUGAUCGCGGGUCACUUACGAGUCGUAACCAUCUAUAAUGGUCUGUACGACAAGCCUGUGCACCUAACUUGGUCCAAGGUGAGCAUAUGGUGCGGGAGGUGAACAUCACGUGAAGGACUGUGCCCUAACUCUGGGCGGGAGCACUAACACCGGGGUGCAGGUUUAUGAGCUCUCAAUGCAUCACAUCAUAUCUUUCAUAACUGAAGAAAUCUCAUAUCUUUAAUUUAUGAACUUACCUGGCAUUUACAUGUGUGUCCGCAACAACAAUCAUAAAUAUAUGCAACUACUAAUGCAUAAAUAAAAUAGGCAAAUACUUUGCAUGGCAUUUCAAAACUUAUAAUCAUUCAAUUUCAUUUUUUGGGAAAAAUCUCAAGUAUAUAUACGAAAAACCAAAAGCCCACUCACUGAUAUGUCGAAGGGUCGUAGCCCCAAAGCCUCGAUUGAUGGCGCUCGUCCUCAGGAUAGGUCUCACCUAUAUGCGAAAUAACUAAAUAAACGUUAUUUAAAGCACAUACGCAAAACUAGGAAAUAACUUCUCAUGCAUUGCUCAAUUGGGGUAUUUGAAUAUACCACAAUGACCUACUCAACCUCAGGAAUACCCCCAAAUUUUUAGAAAUUUUUUCCGAGUACCCACACUAGCCGGCCAAAGCACAACCAAACGUGCGGCCCACGCUCAGGCACGUGCCUGUCACAGGGGACGGAAUAGUUAACGCCGUCAGGGAAUAUUCUGUUAAAAACAAGUAUAUUCCGUUAAAGGUCCCUGACGCCGUUAGUCUCCGUUAGGAAUAUUCCGUCAUCUUUGACGAAAUAUUCACCUUCGUCUACCUCUGCUCGCCGGAGACCGUCGCCGUCUCCGGAAACUGGGAAAAAGUUUAAACCUUCAUAUCUUCUUCAUUUUUCCACCAAAACUCAUGAAAUUUGUACCAAAAUAAAACUUAGGACUAGAAGAACAAAACCUUACCACUUUCAAGCCUUGAAAUCCACAGAAUUUCGCCGGAGAAACCUCGAUAUUCCGGCCACCUCUGCAACUCGUUUAACCCGAGCUUCCCGACGUCCAAAUCGCUCCAAAGUUACUCCCCGAGCUUCGUGAAGAUGUUUUAAGACUUCCUAGGACCUUAAAAUUCACUGAAAGGUCCACGAUCAUGACUGCAUGAACAGUGCUCGCAAUCGGGGUUCUCUGGUUCUCAGGUUUUACGAGCUAUCACGUCGAACUAAGGGUAUGGAUGAGCUCCUGGGCUCACAGGGAACACAAAGACCACCUUUACAGCCUUGAUUCGUGCUUGCAAAGGUUGGUUUGAAGUCUGUCCGUACAAUUGUACGGAAAUGGAAGGAAGUCCGAGAGAGGUAGGAGAGAGAGAGUCAACGGGAGAGUGGUAUGGGUGAGUGUGAGUGUAUGUGGUCCAGCUUUGAGUCACUAACAAUAACUAAACCAUUAACUUUAAGUUCCAAAACUUAGGAACUAACUAGGUUAGUUUAGAACCCAAACUCAAACCACAACACUACAUAAUGUGCUCAACAUCCAAGGGUAUAAAAGGAAUUUCCACACUAUCGUGGAUAAAAUAAUAUACGUUCGGGACGGGCUGUCACAUGAUGUGAGGUUAGGGGCAUAAUUUCGACGUUUUUUGUUAUUUUUAAUUAUGGGAUCCCCUAAACACGCUUUAAUAUAUGUAUUAUCAAAUGGUAAGCAAGCUCACCAUGGGAGUUCUUUUCAUGCAGGCUCACUGCCAUGGGAAGUUUCCGGAUCAUCCCUUUGAGUAGCAUUUUGUUUCAGUUGCUACAAAGUUUUGCAUAUAAUGGAAUUAUAUCAGUGCUUCACGACACAAAAAUAAAAAAAAUUAAAAAGAAAGGUAAGCAAGCUGGCAUUUCUUAAUAGGGAUGUGCUAUUCACACACAUUUUUUUACUUCUCACACACCCUUAUUAAUUUAUGUUCGUUGAUCUUCUUCAAUUCAUCUGAUCUGAAGGCCGAAAACCAAAAAGGUGUGGGAGAAGUAAAAAGAGGUGUGUAGAUAUCACACCCCUUCUUAAUAUAUAUAGUUGACGCACGAGGUAGACUGGAGAGCCCAGUUGCUGGUUGGUAUUAUUUACGGGGGUUAGUAAAUGGGAAAGCUAUUUUUGUACACUUACUUUUACACUUCGCACAUUAUUGGUUAUUUGUGACUUUUAGAUAGAACAUAACAAAGUGACAAAUAAAAACAUGAAUGUGCAGGAUGAGAGAAAUGAAGUACGAAAAUCAUUUUCUUUUAGUAAAUUUGCUUAUCGACUUGUCAAGUUUAUAGAAAUUAAAGAUGGUUUAUGCCAUCUUUAACAAUGCUAAACAAGCUGGCAUUUUGUUCUUAAUAAUUACCAUUUGCCAAUCCUAACCUUUUAUUUUGUUUUAAUUAAUUAAUAAUUUAAUAAUUUAUUUGUAAACUAGUCCUUUGCAGAACAGAUUCCACGAUUUCCGUUCAAAUGUUUUGCAUCGGUGGACGUGAAAUAUGUAUCGAAAGGAAUCGGGAGCAUUACCUAUGGAAACAAAAAACCACAACAUUGUUAAGAUUUAAGCUGCAUACUAGCUUGAAAUCAACAUUGCAGAUGACUAUCCUGCAAAUGCAAUUGAAAAGAAUAAUGAAAUCGGUUAACAGUGAAGAACUUACUAAUUUUAGUAAUAGCCGUUAGAGUUUAAGUUGUAACGACUAGUUUCUUCUUUCUAUUUUUAGUAAAUAGCAUAGUUGUUGCUCUUAUCUGUUAGAGUUGUUGUAUUGUAUCUUUCGAUCUUCUCCCAAGUGGAAGGAUCAGGGCCUCCGAUGGCCUUAAUGGCUGGAGAUGUGUCCUUACUCCUUAAAAUGUAGGAUCUGAACAAUAAACCAAGUUAGGGUUAUAACCUCGAGUCGUACUUCCCUCUCUUCAAUUUCAAUCAGAAUUAUUAGAAAUUUGGUCUUAUUAUAUAUUCCUAUAUAAUUUUGAGGGGGUGAAGGGCAAAAAUUACAAGAAGGCCAGUUCUGUUGACUAGUUAAGCUGCAAUCUGGUGGAGGUUCAUCACUUUGGUCUUAUUAUAUAUUCCUAUACAAUUUUGUUGCAUGUGAGGUUGGGUUGGGUGCAUGAUUUCUACAUUUUUUGUUAUUUUUAAUUCUUGGAUUCCCUAAACACGCGCUAACCUUUAAGGGCUAGCAAAGUUGUUUAAUAAACAUACUAAAUUGCAUAAAAUGUAUGUAUUAUCAAAUGGUAAGCAAGUUGGCAUUUCUUAACCUGUAGUUGACGCGCAUUAUAUGCUAACCGGAGAUCAGCUGGUUGAUAUUAUUUACGAGGCAAUUGAAAAAAGAUUUUUGUACACUUGUUUGCGCAGCCUGCACACUCUUGGUUAUUUCUGACUUUUAAAUAAAAUAGAACUAAGAGACAAAUAAAAACAUGAAUGUGAUUGAAGGUCUUUGUUUUAUGAAAAUGCUAUUUAGCUGAUUGAGGUCUUCGUUUUAUGAUUUGUUAAAAGAAAUUGACAAAAAGGUACUUAUAAAAAAUUGAAGGCCUUUGUUUUAUGCAAAUGCUAUUUAGGUGAAGGUCUUUGUUUUAUGUUUUUUUUUAAAAGAAAUUGACAAAAAGGUACUUAUAAAAUAUUGAGGGUGCGUUUGUUGCACCGGACUGUCUCGGACUGGACUAGCUGCAGGGACUAAGCUGGACUGGCUUAGACUAGACUAAGCUGGACUAACUUAGUGAAGCGUUUGGUGCAGUGUCAGGACUAAGGAACAGACUAACAACAAAUUCUAAUAUUAUAUUAUUUAAUUUAUAUCUAUUAAUAUUUUAUAUUAUUUAAUAAAUAUUUAGUAAUAUUUUAUUAUUACUUCCGUCUAUUUUCUCAUUCUAGAAUCAUCAUUCCAUUCUCAAUUGUUUUCCGUUCUUCCCCUCUCCUCUAUCUUCUUAAAUUUUCUCCGCCCCUUUCCCUUCUUCCCCUCUCCUCUGUCUUCCUAAAAUUUCUCCGCCCCUUUCCCUCUGUUUUCUUCCUAAUUUUUCUUCAUCCCUCUUCCUCUUUUUCUUCGUCCCUCUCCCUCUUCAUCUCCAUCUUCUUCUUCCUUUUGUUCUCUGUUCAUCUCCCUCUUUUCUUCCUUUUGUUCUCCAUUCAUCUCCUUCUUUUCUUCCUAAUUUUUCUAAGAACCAAUUGGUGAAUCAAAACCCGAUCAGAAUCUGGGUCAUCUGGGUAUUUAUGGGUCUGCUUCUUCGGCAUCAAUGGCAAAGGUCUGCGAAAAAGGAAUCAGGACUUGGUGCAUGUGUGAUUAGAGCGACUGUUAUGCAUUUCAUAUGCACAACGAUUUUGUAAUUUAUUUUUUUUGUUGCUUUUUUGUUUAGAAUUUUGGAUUUGGAUAUGAUUUGGAAAAUGGAAAAACUGCAAAAUUUUGCCUAAAAUUUUUCCUGUUUGUUUUGAAUUUUGCUGGAUAUGGGUUGAAAAAUGGUAGAUGAGAGGGGCGAAGUAGGGAGUUGGUGGAUGGGAAGGGUGAAGCGAGGAGGGCGUAGCGGAGAGGAGUGGGCUUAGCAGUCCGGCCGAUGAGGGUGAGGAAGACGACGAUGAGGGAGCACGGCAAGGACGACGUUGAGGGAAGACGCAUAGAUGAGGACGAAGGGAAGACAGGACGAAGGGAAAUCUCUCGGUUUGCUCUGGGCUUACGAAUCCGCCCAAUUUUGGGGUUGCUCGUUAAGAACGGCUAAGGAGGUACUUAGUCCCCGCGAGUCCGGGUUAAGCUCAUUAAAGCUAAUCCGGAUGCACACCAAACGUCGGACUAUAGUCUAGUCCAGUCCAAGGCCUCUUAAUCCUGUCAAACAAACGUGCCCUGAGGGUCUUUGUUAUCUGAAAAUGUUAUUUAGCGAUUGAAUGUCUUUCUUUUAUGUAUUGUUAAAAAAAAGGACAAAAAAGGUAUUUAUAAAAAAUUGAAGGUCUUUGUUUUAUGAAAAUGCUUUUUAGGGAAAGAGAUCCUCUUUGGAUCUUUCCCUCCAAAGCCCAUGGAUCAAGUGAUCUGGGCCUUUAAAAUUUGAUCCAACGACUAAAAACAGAGAAGUUAGCAAAAACUUUUAAAAGUUAUAAUAAUUUUUUGCCGUUGGAUCAAAAUUUAAAAGCCCAAAUCACUUGAUCCUUGGGUUUUGGAAGGAAAGAUCCGGAGAUGAUCUCUUUCCACUAUUUAGGGAAUGAAGGUCUUUCUUUUAUGUUUUGAUAAAAAAAAAUUGACAAAAAGUACUUACAAAAAAUUGAAGGUCUUUGUUUUACGAAUUCAAGGUCUUUCUUUUAUGUUUUGUUAAAAGUUACCAUUUUACUCUCUGAAACUCAAAAUUCAUUAUACUGUGACUUGUUGACUCUCUAUUCUCCCUGAAACUUAUAGGUUGCCUCCUAAAACAUAUAUAGGACCCAACACCUAAUAAGGCUAUGUCACAUGUGCAAUAAAUUUGAUUAUGAACUCAAUUGUGCGACAACAUUAAAAAAUCAGAGAAUAUUGAGUUUAAAAGAAAUUGAAGAGAUGAAAAAAAUAAAAAAUAAAAUGAUUAGUAUACCUAGAUCAAAUCCACACAAGAAACUAAAAGAUCUAAGGCAAUGUGAAGUGAAUUUUGAAUUUUGUGGAAACAACUUUCAAGUUUUAGGAAGCAAAUUGUGGUCAAAAUCGAGUUUCAGGGGGCAAGGUGAAGCGAAUUUUGAGUUUUAGGGGGCAAAUUGACGAGUUUUGAGUUACAGGGAACAAAAUAAAAUUAAAAUCAAGUUUUAGGGGGAUUAGAUAAAAACAGAAAAAAAGUACUUUAAAAAAUUGAAGGUCUUUGUUUGAUGAAAAUGCUAUUUAGGGAUUGAAAGUCUUUCUUUUAUAUUUUGUUAAAAAAAAUUUGACAACAAAGUACUUAUUAAAAUUGCAGGUCUUUGUUUUAUGAAAAUGCUAUUUAGAGAUUGAAGGUUUUUCUUUAUGUUUUGGUAAAAGAAUGGACAAAAAAGUAAUAAAAAUUGAAGGUCUUUGUUUUAUGAAAAUACUAUUUAGGGAUUGAAGGUCUUUCUUUUAUGUUUUGUUAAAAAUAUUGACAAAAAAGGUACUUGUGAAAAAUUGAAGGUCUUUGUUUUAUGAAAAUGCUAAUUAGUGAUUGAUGGUCUUUCUUUUAUGUUUUGUUGAAAAAAAUGGACAAAAAGGUACUUACAAAAAUUUGAAGGUCUUCGUUUUACGAAAAUGCUAUUUAGGGAUUGAAGGUCUUUCUUUUAUGUUUUGUUAAAAAAAUGGACAAAAAAGUAAUAAAAAAUUGAAGGCCUUUGUUUUAUGCAAAUACUAUUUAGGGACUGAAGGUCUUUCUUUUAUGUUUUGUUAAAAAAAUUGACAAAAAAUUACUUAUAAAAAUUGAAGGUCUUUGUUUUAUGAAAAUGCUAUUUAGGGAUUGAAAGUCUUUCUGUUAAGUUUUGUUAAAAAAAAUUGACAAAAAGUACUUAUAAUUGUUUUAUGAAAAUGCUAUUUAGAGAUUGAAGGUCUUUCUUGUCACAGCCCGUCCCGAAUGUUUAUAUUAUUUUGUCCACGAGGGCGUGGAAAUUACUAUUUUACCCUUGAGCGUUUGGUGGUGGUGUGUGUAAAUGGGCUAAGGAUGUGGACCACGUGAUUUCUUUCCUAAGUGUUUGGAUCCAAUUAGAAUUUAAAUUUUUAUUUGUUUUGUUUGGUAGCCCAAAUCUAGACCACACACACACUCUCACCCUCCUGUUGACCCUCUCUCUCUUCCCGCUCAGAUUUCUUCCAUUUUUCGUACAGUUGUACGGACAAUCCCUUAACCAAAAUUUUCAUGCACGGAUCGAGGUUGUGGUUGUUGUUUUCAAGUCCCUUGCAAGCUUAGGAACAGAGCCAUACCAUUAGUUUGGAGGUUGGACCUCGAAAACCCUAGAAACUCGCGAGCUCCGGUGAGGUGCAUUGUUCACUCGACGUGAUCACGAAGGUUUCAGGUAGUUUUGAGACUUAAGAAGGUUCUAUUCUUGCUUUUCUAGCAAGUUGGAUAGAUUUUGGAGUGGUUUUGACGUUAUAACGUUUGGGUUUUUAUAGUUGCAGAGUUUGGCUGGUUUCCUCGAAUUUUUUCGGCGAGAUUCCAUUGGUUUUAGGAUCUUAAAGUGGUAAGAUUGUGUUCUUCUCAUCCUAAGCUUCAUUUUGGUACAAAUUUCAUGAAUUUUGGAUGAGAAAUGAAGAAGAUAUUGAAGUUUUAAGUUUUUCCAGUUUCCGGCGAUCGUAGCGGUGGCCGGCGGCUGCUCCGACGAGGAUCCCCGGAGAAGAUGAAGAAUAUUCCGCCAAAAUUAACGGAAUAUUCCUGACGACGUAAGGUAACAUCGUAAGCUUCUGUUAGUAUUUAAUGGAAUAUUUCUGACGGCACUGGCUUGCGCGUGGGGGCGCGUCUGGCCGUGCCAUUGCCAGAGCGUGAGGGGGCGGGGUACUAAAAAAAAAUUUCUAAAAAUAUGGGGAUGUUCCUGAGGUUGAGUAGGUCAUGGUGGUAUAUUUAUAUACCCCAAUUGAGCAAUGUAUGAGAAGUUAUUACCUAGUUUUAUUUAUGUGCUUUAAAAUAACGUUUAUAUAGUUGUUUCGCAUAUAGGUGAGACCUAUCCUAAGGACGAGCGCAGUCAAGCGAGACUUGGGGGUUACGACCCUUUCACAUAUCAGUGAGUGGGCUUUUGGUUUUCAGUAUAUACUUAUAUACUUGGUAUUUUUCCCAGAAAAUGUGUUUAAAUGAAAUUAUGUUUUGAAAUGCCAUGCCUAUUGAUUUAUGCUUAGAUUAUGAAUUUGUAUGGUAUGUACAUUUGUGAUUUGACGCGGUGGACGCCCAGGUAAGUACCAGGUGAGUUGUAGAUUGUUAUUAUGAAUUGAUGAUUAUGUGAGAUGUGUUGAGAACUUAUGAACUUGCACCCCGGUGUUAGUGCUCCCGCCCGUGGUUAGGGCACAGUCCUUCACGUGAUGUUCACCUCCCGCACCAUACGCUCACCUUGGAUCUAAGUUAGGUGCACAGUCCUGUUGUACAGACCACUAUAGGUGGUUCUGACUCAUAGGUGAUCCGUGAUUAUUCGCACAAUCUUCACGUUAUCGUAGCACUAAAGCGUAUUUACUUACACCCAGUCUUGUCGUACAUACCGCUUUAGGUGGUUCCGACUCGUAUGCAGACAUACUUGUUGAGCUAUAGGUUCAGCCGUACAGGCCACUUUAGGUGUGUAACAUCCCACAUCACCUAGGGGAGUGGAUCUUGUAAGCCUUAUAUGUAUAUUCUCAUCCCUACCUAGCACGAGGCCUUUUGAGAGCUCACUGGCUUUGGGUUCCGUAGGAACUCUGAAGUUAAGCGAGUUCGCGUAAGAGUAAUCCCAUGAUGGGUGACCCAUUGGGAAGUUCUCGUGUGAGUUCCCAUAAACAAAACCGUGUGGGCGUAGUCGGGGCCCAAAGCGGACAAUAUCAUGCUACGGUUAGGGGUGGGUUCAGUUUAAAUCGGUUCGGUUUUUUGCCAAAACCGAAACCAAACCGAAAUUUCAGUUCGGUUCGAUUCGGUUCAUUUUUUUUUCGGUUCGGUUUUUUCCGGUUUGGUUUCGGUUCGGUUUCGGUUUUUUGUUUUUUUUUUCAAAAAAUGAAAAACAUUCAAAUUUUAAAUUUUAACAUAUCCAACACAAUUAUAACAUAAACAUUCUAACUAGAAUCAAAGACAAUGAAAAUAAACAUUUAAAGUUGAACUAAAAUCAUCAAUCAAGUAUUCCAAAGUCCAAACUAACAACCUCACAACACAAAAAUCGUACAAAUGACUUAGAAAAGUUAAAUUGUAUGAUAUUGUUCAAAGAUCAGGGUUGUUUGCUUGUAACUGCAUGUUGACAACUUGAUUAAUAAAAGUAAUGCGUGGGUGGAUUUAUUUAGUGUGUGUUGGAUUCUUUUCCAUCACAAAUUACUCAAGUAAUCUACCCAAAAUAAAUGUUUAUGGAUUCUGUUACAUGUUAUAUGAGAGUAGAUUUGGAAAAGAAAGCUGGAGCAGAAGUAGACAGUGCUAUGGAGAUGGAUGUAGGUACUUCAGGAGGAGGUUUGGUUCCAGAACCUUAUAUGGGGGAGAAAUAAUAGGUUAGGGUUUAGAGUUUUUAUAGGCCUUUUUUAAUAUUUUGAGCUUAAAGUUUGGCAAUACAUUGGGUUUAACACAUUUUAACUUACAAAUUGGGUUUAGAAAAUAAUACCCACAACAAAUAAUUAAAUAAAAAAUUUAAUUUAAUUAAUUCGGUUUGGUUCGGUUCGGUUUGGUUCGGUUUCUAGAUCACUAAAACCGAACCGAACCAAAAGAAUUUGGUUCGGUUUAGUUUUUUCGUUCGGUUCGGUUUGGUUUUCGGUUUUUUGAACCCACCCCUAGCUACGGUGGUGGAGCGAGCCCGGGAUGUGGUGGACCUCGGGCCGGGAUGUGACAAUUUGGUAUGUAUAUUCAACCGUACAUGCCACUUUAGGUGUGUAACAUCCCACAUCGCCUAGGGGAGUGGAUCCUGUAAGCCUUAUAUGUAUAUUCUCAUCCUUACCUAGCACGAGGCCUUUUGAGAGCUUACUGGUUUCGGGUUCCGUAGGAACUCCGAAGUUAAGCGAGUUCGCGCAAGAGCAAUCCCAUGAUGGGUGACCCACUGGGAAGUUCUCGUGUGAGUUCCCAGAAACAAAACUGUGAGGGCAUAGUCGGGGCCCAAAGCGGACAAUAUCGUGCUACGGUGGUGGAGCGAGCCCCGGAUGUGGUGGACCUCGGGCCAGGAUGUGACAAUUUGGUAUGUAUAUUCAGCCGUACAGGCCACUUUAGGUGUGUAACAUCCCAUAUCGCCUAGGGGAGUGGAUCAUGUAAGCCUUAUAUGUAAAUUCUCAUCCCUACCUAGCACUAGGCAUUUUGAGAGUUCACUGGCUUCGGGUUCCGUAAGAACUCUGAAGUUAAGUGAGUUGGCGCGAGAGCAAUCCCAUGAUGGGUGAUCCACUGGGAAGUUUUCGUGUGAGUUCCCAGAAACAAAAUCGUGAGGGCGUAGUCGGGGCCCAAAGCAGACAAUAUCGUGCUACGGUGGUGGAGCGGGCCCGGGAUAUGGUGGACCCCGGGCUGAGAUGUGACAAGGUGGAUCUAGCUGAUAUAUUAUUUUUCAUGAGUUUAUUUCACCUGAGUUACUUAUUCUGUUAUAUUAAGAUAUUUGGCAUGACAUAUUCAUUGAUUUCGCUAUUCUGAGCAUGAUUUUGAUAUAGAUAUGUAUAUAUUCUAUUUUUUGGGAAAUUAUACAGGUUUUAUGGCGAGGGGUUAGAACUUUUGAUAAAUGAAAUGGUUUUGAAAAGCUUUGUUUUUGCCUACUCACAUUUUCUGUUUUGCGCCCCUCCAGGUUUUAGGUAGGAGUACUUGUGGUGGCUUACGAGGAUUUGACGGAGGUUCUGACAGAUUAUCACCAAUGCAGGAUCACCUUUGGGUGUGUAUAAUCAGUAUUCGUCCUGCUGGACUGCACUUAGGCUACUUAUGCUCUGAUUGUGAACUCACACUUAAUAUCGCAUUUGCACCUUAUCUUAUCUCGUGCUCUAGUUGUUUUGGUUUUUGUUUACUCGCAUUUCUUAUAUUAAUAUUGCUUCCGCACUGUGCACAUGGCUACGUCACCCUCACGUGACGGCCAGCAUGCCUCGAUCUAGGUCGGGGUGUGUCAUUUCUUUUAUGUUUUGUUAAAGAAAAAAAAUUUAUUGAGACAAUACUUUUUAAUUAUUUCAAAGAGAAACAAAUUUUAAUAAAGUUUAAAGUGACAUCAUGGACAUUUUCCCUGUUGGUGCGUAAGUGACCAAAUUGCCCUUCUAUGCGUGACUGACUUUGUUCAAUUUCGUUCCAGUUUCUUUCUCUUUUUUUUUUACAUUUGAUUCGAGGAUCUGAGUUCAUGUUUGAUUGUGUUAUGAAGGAAGGUAUUCUGACUAAAACCCAUGUUUGAAUUCUAAUUACACAUGGCCAGUCAUCGUCGAUUUCGAAGGCCGAGUUCGCGUCGUCGAUGCUAGCAAGAAUGUGAGUAUGAUCGUGAAGUUUAUCUGCAAAAAAAAUCUUGAACAAUCAUGGCCACAACUGGUUUUGUUCUCUUUGUUUCUUAAUUUCAGAUCUACAAAGGAAGAAAAAAGAAGAAUGAUAAGUCAAAAAUGGGUCUCAAUCCUUCUAAUAAUUCUUCAGUUGCACCAAUUAAAAUUCGAAACGAACCCAAGAAAACCAGGGAACAUGAGAAUUUGAGCCUAAUUAGUCAAAGAAUCUCAAACCUCAUAAAGUUUUCAAAACCAAAAUGCAUGUUCCCAAAAAUUACCUUAGCUAGUUGGGUUUGAUUCACUGAUUUUGUAGCAAAAAACCGUUUGUCAAACCAACUUGUAGAGUGAAAGUUCUUAAAUUUUCUUUCUGAAACUUGUCCAAAGAAGAAGAAAUGAAUUGGAGAAGAUGAAGUUGUGAAUAAUAAGGGAUUCUGAAGGGGGUGACAAAGAGCAAGGAAAAGGAUUCGGCGUGAUAGUGACCGUUCAUCAUAUAUCGUGCGGUAAAAAAUCAUUCAAAAUAUAAAUUUAAAAUUAAAUAUGGAUAGUACUUAAUAAAAACUGACCGUACGAUGUACGAUGAACGAUCACUAUCACGGGAUCCUUAGGAUUCCCAGAAAAAAAAUUCGGCGAGGAUCCUUUUCCGAAGAGGAAUAAGAGGUUAGGAGGUGGGAUGCGGGAAGGGGUAUGUGGGGCCCACUUCCCACUUAAUUUUUUAAGUUAUUUUUUAUUUUUAAAUUAUUUUCUUUUAAAAGUGUACAAACUGUUUCUACUAAAAAAAAUUAUACAAACUGGUUCUACUAAAAAAAAUAUACAAAACGGAUUCUACAUAUAUUUAAAACUAAUAUGCAAAAAUGGUCGAGAAGAUGCUGGACUGAUGACAUGUAUGUUAUUUCUUUGAAAGUAUACAAACUGAUUCUACAAAAAUAGUUGAGGACUGGUUGAACUGAUUCUGCAAAAAUGGUUAAGGACGAGUUGAACUGAUUCUGAAAAUGGUCGAGAACUGAUUCUGCAAAACUGGUCAAGGACAGGUUGAACUGAUUAUGCAAAAAUGGUUGAGGACGAGUUGAGCUGAUUCUGCAAAAAUAGUCAAGGAUUGAUUGAACUGAUUCCGCAAAAAUGGUUGAAGACGGUUGAACUUAUUCUGCAAAAAUGGUCAAGGAUGAGUUAAAUUGAUUCUGCAAAAAUGGUCGAAGACAGGUUGAACUUAUUCUGUGAAAAUGGUCGAGGACGGGUUGAAUUGAUUUUGCAAUAAUGGUCGAGGACAUAUUGAACUGAUUCUACAAAAAUGAUUGAUAACGGGUUGAACUGAUUCUAAAAAAUGGUUGAUGAGUGAUUGAACUGAUUCUGCAAAAAUGGUCGAUGACGGUUUGAACUGAUUAUAGUAAUAAAUUAUACAAACUGAUUCUACAUAUAGUUUGAAAACUGAUUCUGCAUAAAUAGUCGAUGAUGAGUUGAGUUUAUGACACAUAUUAAUUUUGUUAGAAUUGUGAGGGCUGAGUUCUAUUAACAGCCUCAAAACCUUAGGUGUAACAUCCCACAUCGCUCAGGAGAGUGAAUCCUGCAAACCUUAUAUGUACAUGCUUAUUUCUUCCUAGCAUGAGGCCUUUUGGGAGCUCACUAGCUUCGGGUUCCAUCGGAACUCCGAAGUUAAGCGAGUUCGCGCGAAAGCAAUCCCAAGAUGGGUGACCCACUUGGAAGUUCUCGUGUAAGUUCCCAGAAACAAAAUCGUGAGGGCGUGGUCGGGGCCCAAAGCGGACAAUAUCGUGCUACGGUGGAGUCGAGCUCAGGAUGUGGUAGGGGUCAAGGUCGGGAUGUGACAAUUUGGUAUCAGAGUCAAUCCCUGGUCGGAUGUGUGCCGACGAGAACGUCGGGCCCCUAAGGGGGGUGGAUUGUAACAUCCCACAUCGCCCAUGAUGGUGGAUCGUGUAAACCUUAUAUGUACAUGUCCAUCUCUUCAUAACACGAGGCCUUUUGAGAGUUCACUGGCUUCAGGUUCCAUCAGAACUCCGAAGUUAAAGGAGUUCGCGCGAGAGCAAUCCCAAGAUAGGUGACCCACUGGCAAGUUCUCGUGUGAGUUCCCAGAAACAAAAUCGUGAGGGCGUGGUCGGGGCCUAAAGCGAACAAUAUCGUGCUACGGUGGAGUCGAGCCCGGGAUGUGACAUUAGGGGUAUGAUUGGUAAUUUAAAACAAUGUUUCCAUGUUUUUGGGCUCUUUAAAAACUAAUUGAGUUCCUUUAAAUAUAGUGAAAGUUUUUGCCUUUAUACAUAAAGCUCCCUUUAAAAUGACAGCAAAGUACUUAUUAAAAUUGCAGGUCUUUGUUUUAUGAAAAUGCUAUUUAGAGAUUGAAGGUCAUUCUUUAUGUUUUGUUAAAAAAAUGGACAAAAAAGUAAGAAAAAUUUGACGGCUUUUGUUUUAUGAAAAUACUAUUUAGGGAUUGAAGGUCUUUCUCUUGUGUUUUGUUAAAAAAAAAUUGACAAAAAAGUAUUCAUAAAAAUUGAAGGUCUUUGCUUUAUGAAAAUGCUAUUUAGUGGUUGAUGGUCUUUCUUUUAUGUUUUGUUAAAAAAUUGACAACAAAGUACUUAUUAAAAUUGCAUGUCUUUGUUUUAUGAAAAUGCUAUUUAGAGAUUGAAGGUCAUUCUUUAUGUUUUGUUAAAAAAAUGGACAAAAAAGUAAUAAAAUUUGAAAUGCAAAUACUAUUUAGGGACUGAAGGUUUUUUAUGCAAAUUAUUUUAUUGUUUAAAAAUUGAAAUGCUUUUUUUUUAUGUUUUUGUUUGUUAAAAAUUGAAAAUUUGUCUUUUGUUUUAUGAAAAUGCUAUUUAAAUUGAAAGGUUGAUUUUUAUGUUUUGUUAAAAAAAAAAGACAAAAAAGUAAUAAAAAAUUUUGUUUAUGAAAAUACUAUUUAGGGACUGAAAGGUCUUUCUUUUAAAAAAUUGACAAAAAUUUACUUAAAAAGGUCUUUAUUUUAUGAAAAUGCUACUUAGCGAUUGAUGGUCUUUCCAUUAUGUUUUGCUAAAAAAAAGGACAAAAAUUGAAGGUCUUUGUUUGAUUUGCUAUUUAGGGAUUGAAGGUCUUUCUUAUAUGUUUUGUUAAAAAAAUUGACAAAAAGUACUUAUAAAAAAUUGAAGGUCUUUGUUUUAUGAAAAUGCUAUUUAAAGAUUGAAGGUCUUUCUUUUAUGUUUUGCUAAAAAAAUUUGACAAAAAAGUGAAAUUUACUUAAAUGCACACCUAGUUGGCAUGUUCAACUAUUCAAAUCGCUUCCAAGGUGAUUGUGAACAGGUUGAAUUCUAUCAUUCCAGCAAUAAUCAUGUCUCAUCAAAGUACAUUUGUGCCGGGCAGGCAAAUUGUGGACAACGCAAUUCUAGCUAGCGCUUUAACACUUUCAUUUUCAAAACAAGAUUAGGAAAAAUGAAUUCUUAGCGUUAAAAUUGAACAUGAGUAAGGCGUAGGACCAAAUUAAAUAGGAAUACAUUUGGAGUGUACUGCUAAAAAAUGGAUUUUGUUCGGCAAUGCGUGAAUUUAAUCAUGUCCUGCGUCACCUUUGUCACAUAUUCAUUCCUAGUCAAUGGUGCUUCAAGGAGAUAUCUUCGUCCAACUUGGGAAUUGAGGUAAGGGGACCCCUUUCGCCCUUAUUUUGUAUGGAGUAGGAUUUUCUUCCCUCCCUUUCAAAUCCCCUCUUAUUUCAACUGUUAUUAUUCCAAUCCCUUCCAAGCAACGUUAACUUCUGGCGUUUACUUCUUUAUAGAGAGAGAAUAUAAAGAGGGAAGGAAAAUAGAGAGAUAAGGAGACAGGAAGGGAGAGGAUUUGGAGAUGCGCCCAAGGUCUUUCAGCUUUGAUUGGCCAAGAGAGAGUCAAGGGCUGAUUCAGCAGAUAUAUAAAGCGGGCUCCAGUCGAAUGGGCUUGGAAUAAAGCCCAAAACAUUGAGCCUAAGCUCGUUCUCAAAUUUUAAAGAUUGGAUCAAUGGGUCGGUUCAAAGCCCAAGAGACUGGUGAGUCACGGACCCAAUAACGAGUCUAGGUCAACGGAGGCUCGUAUAUAUCAAAGCUCGAUAAUCUGGUUUUCCUUUCGAACAAUCGCAAUUAGGGUUUUCUGGAUCACACUAAAAUCCCCAGAGUUUCAGUUCUUCGUUCUCCUUCAGAGACUCGAAGCUACCUUGGAAUUCAAACCGCUGCAACCAUGUACGGAUCGAGAGGGUAAGCAUAGUUCGAUUUUGUAUGCAUCUGUCUGUUUCUUGCGAUAUAAUUGAUUUUUUGCUGCGUUUGUAUCCUCUGAAAUCUGUGGUUGUUUAUCUUUGAACAUAAUUGAUGUUUUAAUUAGGGUUUUGAUGAUUCUUGGAUCAGGAAACUCAAUCAAAUAGAUAAAAUUGAUCAAGAAAAUUCAAUGAAAUAGGUAACAUAAUUGGGAUUUUUUUUCGAAAUCAAAGUAGAACACCUAGAGCUUGGCUAGUUCUUGGCCUAUAUGUGUACUUCAUCGAAUAAGUAGGCCGAAUUUGAAACUUGAAUUGUCUUUCGAGGACUGGAAAUGUAGGUUAGGGAAAAUGUUGCAGAGUUUAUGAUUUUCAUGAGCAAUAUGUGACUUGAGCAAAUAGUUCAUAUAUUAGGCGGUGGCGUGAAUUAUUAAAGCCGUAGAGUAUGUAUGAGAGAUUUGAUUGCGUGAAUGAGAGCGCGAUAUUUCUCUCUGUGAAAUCCCAUGUGAUUGCUUGCAUCUGUUAGCAUAAGUAGAUUGAUAUCUUGUUUAUAGGAAAAAAGGGGUUUUCUUUGCUUUGCCAUGCAUCUGGGUUUAUUUCUAUGUAUAUUUGUUUGAUAUGGGGUUGGUGGAUAUGAUUAUUAUUUAUGUUGGAAUAUCAAAUCUAGGGUUUUAGACAUUAGGUGACAGGGAAGUGUGUGGGUCGGGUUCGGUUUUAUUAACAGGUUGAGUGGGGGAUUAUCUCUUUUUUGGGUAUUUAAGGGCAAUGUUGGGAAGCGGGGGGGUUUCGGACGGGUACGAGGUCGGCUCAAAGAGACCAAGAAUGAUGGAUCCCUACUUCGCAGUGAGCAGCGGCGCAAGUGGCUUUCAUCCUUAUGGCUAUGGUGGGAAUUUUCAGCCCCCAGUUUUUCCAGUGGCCCGUCUCAGGGGACUUCCAUUCAACUGCACGGAUAUUGACAUCUUCAAGUUCUUUGCUGGACUGGAUAUUGUUGAUGUGUUGCUGGUCAACAAGGGUGGACGGUUCUCAGGAGAGGCCUUUGUUGUUUUUGCUGGACCCAUGCAGGUUGAGCUUGCUCUACAGAGAGAUCGGCAGAACAUGGGUCGUAGGUAUGUCGAAGUUUUCACUUGCAAGAGGCAGGAGUACUACAAGGCUGUUGCAGCGGAGGUAAACCAUGAAGGAAUUUAUGAUAAUGACUAUCAAGCAAGCCCUCCUCCAACUAAAUCAAAGAGGUUCAGCGACAAGGAGAAAAUGGAGUACACUGAAAUAUUGAAGAUGCGCGGCCUCCCCUUCUCAGCAGAAAAAUCUGAAAUUCUUGAGUUUUUCGGAGAAUUCAAGGUUGUAGAAGAUAGGGUGCAUAUUGCCUGCCGCCCGGAUGGAAAAGCUACCGGAGAGGCAUAUGUGGAGUUUGUCUCUGCAGAAGAGGCGAAAAGGGCAAUGUGCAAGGACAAGAUGACAAUUGGUUCGAGGUACGUGGAGCUUUUUCCAUCGACACCAGAUGAAGCUAGACGGGCUGAAUCCCGAUCAAGGCAGUGAUUAAGCGCUAUGGUCGCGGAUUUAAGGUUUAGAUCUAUAUGUGCUAUUUCCAUUGUGUGGCUUGGGCUAAAACAUUUUUCUCUUUAGUUUUAUAUACAAACAAUAAUUGUUGGUUAAGUUUAAGUACUUGUGCGAACAAAAGGAAGAUGACGUUUUAUUUCGUAGCAUCUCCUCCCACAAUUGUUGGUUUUUUUUUUUUUUUUUUUUUUUUUUGUUUAACCUACUUAGUGUUUUUGUGCUUGGUCACAUUAAAAUGUGAAAGAACUCGCCUUGCGAAAAUCUAAAAACCGUCAUAAAAUCUAUUUUCAUGGAAUAUUGCGAAGUUGUUAUUAAUUUGUAUGUUUUCAAACUCAAAAAUUAAAUUUGAUAAAAGUGGUGCAUUUUUUUUUACUUAAUAAAUUGAAAGAUCGCUUCUGAAUGACAAUAUAUUUCUAAUCGCACACGCAAAGUCUUUUGAAAUUUCAUUAAUCUCAUUUUUCACAGAACUCACUAACCAUACACAUCAAGAAGAGUAUUAUGUAAAUGUAAUGGGCAAAAAGAAUUUCAUUCCAGCUGAGUUCUAGCCCCCCCUCUUUUCUCUUAUAAUUCUUAUUAAUGUUUUGUUUUCAAGCUUAAAAAUUCAUUGAAAAAGAAUUACUAUUAUAUGUGAAUCAAUCAUUUGUAAGACCGCUUCUGAAUGACUUAUAAAAUUCUGCUUGUCAUGCAAAUAAUUCUUUCGCAUAAACUCCACAAAUCUUGCUUUUUGAUAUAUAAAAAAAAAAGAAAAAAAAAGAAGUUAUGAGUUUUAAUUGGUUAUGCAAAUUUUACAAUAACCAUCAUAUAACAUAUUCUGAUGAAAUUUAUGCCCCAUCAUAAGCGUCUUAAAAUACACGUAAUAUGUUUAGAACACUGUAACAUGUUUCGAAGAUGUUUUAGCCAACAAAAAUUUGUCUUGGCUAUGUAAAACGUUGCGCUAGUAUUUUUAUUGGUGUUUUUGUUUUGCAAGCAACACCACACAAUGUGAGCAAGUUAUUUCUUCACCCGGAGUUAGGGGUGGGCAUUCUCACGGGUUACCCGACCAACCCAAGCAAAACUAGUUGUGUUAGGUUUUAUCUUUCAAAUUUGAUUUGGUCAUAACCCACCCCCCGUGUGAAAAGGGGUGACAUUCGAUUUAUUAAUCCUCAGUUCCGUUGGUAUUCGACCCACCGACUUGUAUAAAUAGCAGCAAGAGAAAUGUUAAGGAGACUUGUAUCAAAAUAGAAUUUUGUCACCUUAAAUUUUGGCAUGAUGUUUUAUGGUAAUGAUAUGAGAAUUAAUCUUAAACUGUGAGUUGAUAGAAAUUUAUACAAAUUUAACUACAAAAGUCCCCAGCAUUUCUCCUAACGGCAAUAACUUUUAAGUUUUUUAAUUAAAAUGAUUCAUGAGAUUUGAAUAACUCUUUAUUUUGUUCAUGAGAUUUGAAAUUAUUAGAACUGAUUCCUGAGUUUGUCUAUCAUUGAUCACUUUAGUUCUUUCAUGAAAAACCUUCCUUACAUAAGGAGAAAAUGACAAAAAUAUUCUUAAUUUUGUCAAAUCAUUUUGACUCAUUGUUUACUAAAUUAAGCUUGUCAUUAACAAAAAUAUUUCACGGAAUGAUCAAAUGAUUGAUGGUGAAAAAAAAUUAGAAAUCACUUAUAUUAAUUUCAAAUCUCAGAAAUCAAAAUAAAGAGUUAUGCCACAUUCAUAAACCAUUUUGACUAAAAACCUGGAAUUGGAUCCUCGCCGGAUCUAAUUCUUGGGGAUCCUAGGGAUCAACCCAUAUGGGUCGUUGAUCAAAAAUUGUGCGAUCACAAUUUUUUUCUUUUUUAUAUUUUUCACGCAAAACGAGACUAUUUUACUUUUAAAAUAUUUAAUUGUGACCGCACGAUUUUUAAUAAACGGUCUACGUGGGUUAAUCCCUAGGAUCCCAAGUAAUUAGAUCCGGCGAGAUCCAAUUCCUAAAAACCUUAUCUUUUUUAAAUAGUGGUAUGUAGAUCGGCAUGUUGCAUGCGCUUAUAAUUUUGACUAAAAACCUUAUCUUUAAAAAAUAAAAAUUAAUGGAACACUUCCGUACUAUUUAUUUUAACAAAAAAAUCAUAUUUUUAUUCUAUAAAAAUUAAUCUUAAUAUUAUUCACUUACAACACAUUUUUAUUAUUUUCGUUAAACCUCAAAUUCCCAAAUCCUUUUGGUUAGUUUUUUAUUUUUUUUAAUCACCUGCAAUCUCGCAUUAGAAUUCUGCGAGCUAUUUCGCUGCGACUCUUCGUCCUCCUUCCGGAUUCCCCAGUAAGUUUUAACGACCUUCAAUCCACCGUCUUCCUUAAACCGAUUUGCUUUUAUUUUUCCAUUUUUCGGUUCCGGCUUCUCGAAUUUCAUUGAUCUCAGCUGCCCAUUUGCUCUGUAAUCUGUAUUUCUUAUCUUCCGAUUGGUUACUGCUUACAUUGCACUUACAAAUCUGAUUUGAUAAUUUAGUAAAUAUAAAGAUCGAAUCUUUAAUUUAAGUAGCUAAGCAGUUGACGUGCUUUUAAUAAACCCAUGUUUGUUUGACUGAGAAUUUGAGAUCUUCUACUCUUUUGGGCAUGAAGUGAAUUGCUAGUGAUGUAAUUUCGAUAUCGAAACGGCCCCCAAAUGGAUAAUCUGCUAUAAGAAUCAAUACCCACAACUUAUUUUUCUUCGAAAGUUAGAUAUCUGAGCUUAGUUUUGUAUAAGUAUUGUAUUAACAUUGAGUUUCUUGUUUACUUGCUUUGUUAUCUUAUAGGUUUGGUUUGGAUUGUGCGUAUUGGCGUGCCGGGUCUGUUAGUUUUAAGUAAAUUUAUAGUCUCUGACCUUGCAAAGGCAGGGUCUUUAACUGAUAUUUGCAACCAUAUCGACCCAGUGCCAUGAGUGACUCAUCUUUGUACGAUCCAAUCGAACUCGAAACCACCACCUUUGACCUUAUUGUUGUUGGGACAGGCCUCCCUGCAACAGUAAUUGCCGCUGCAGCCUCUGCUGCCGGAAAAACUGUCCUCCACCUUGACCGGAACCAUUUUUAUGGCAGCCAGUUUGCCUCUCUUCACCUUGAUCAGCUCACCUCCUUCAUAAAUUCCCAUGCUACUCCGCCCUCUACCAUCAUCGAUACUACCUCUACAAGUAUUAGCCAUGAUUACACUGUCUUAGAUGUCACCCUCCGAUCAGUAUACUCCAGCAUUGAGACUGCCAACUAUGCCCCAGAAAUCCUUGCAGAUCAGUCCUCAAAGUUCCUUAUUGACCUGGGCGGGCCCAGGGUUUUGUUUUGUGCUGACAAAGCCGUUGACCUUAUAGUUAAAUCGGGUGUGGACUCGUAUUUGACCUUCAAGAGCAUUGAUGUGAGCUUCAUUUGUGAUGAGAGUGGGGGGUUAUCCAAUGUGCCAGACUCUCGAUCAGCAAUAUUUAAAGACAAGAGCCUGAGUCUUAUAGAGAAGAAUCAGUUGAUGAGAUUCUUCAAGCUUGUUCAGCAGCAUUUGGCAGCUUCCGCUGGCGAUGAUGGAGGGAGUGAAAGUUCAAAGAUUUCCGAGGAGGAUUUGGAGAGUCCCUUUGCUGACUUCUUAAAGAGGAUGCGAUUGCCACCCAAGAUUAAAUCGUACAGAUUACAUUGCCUUUCUCUCUCUGUUAGUGACAGUACUUUGUUCCCUUGCCUUGUUGAGAUUACUCUACUUUGCUGUGUUUAUAGAUAUUUCCAUUGCUUCAGCAGGCUGUUACUGUAUUCUGGCUAUUGAACCAUUUAUAGGAUACCCCAUUAGUAUGCUUGUUAUAUUGUUUUUAUGUAAAAAAGAAAAACAAUUGAGUUUUUAUUUUUUAAUAUGUUGUUUUCCCAACAAACUAAGCACAAGUAGUCUUUUUAGUAGACUACAUCAAGAAAGCAGCUGGUUCUUUUUUAUCCUGAAAAUUGUUUCUAUUAUUGCUCUUCAUAUCCUGGAAACUGUUCCUUCACUGCCUUGGAUAGUUCUUGUUUUCAUUAUUCUGAGAACUUGUGUCAUUUUCUUCCAUAUAGGAUUAUUCUGUAUGCCAUUUCCCUGGCAGAUGACGAUCAGGACAGCUUGGAAGUUUGUAAAACUGUACUUAAGACAAGAGAAGGGAUGCAGCGUUUAGAUCUCUACCAAAAAUCAGUUAGAAGGUUAGUUGUCUCAUUUUGUUUUGUACUUAGAACAUUUAUUCUAUGAUGUUUUAGUUUCUGUGUGAAGUACUAUUGUAAUGAUGCUCGACCUAGUACCUAUAUGGUAUUGAUACUAUGUACUAAACGUGUUUGCUUUGUAUAUUAUCUAGCGACAAUUUGAAGAUUGCUAAGAGUUAUGUUUUUCAGUAAUAAAAAAAUUGAAGAAACGGUUAAAUAUUUGACAGCCAUGGUUUAUGAUUAUAGAAAAUAAGUUCAUCUAUGUAGAAGGAAAAACAAGGAGUAGAAAUGGGUAGUAUCCUGUUGAUGUCAUUGAAACUUAUAUGUAAGAAUAGGGACUGUUCAAAUUUAGUGUUUUUCUUAUUUGAACCUAAUGAUUUCAGUGUAUCCCUUGACUCAAAAUUACGCGCUUCAAAUUUAUACCAAAGAAGAUAUUUAAAUCUGUAUGCUACAAGUAGUUUCUUUAUCGUUCUUUUUUCUUAGGUUUCCAAAUGUGCCUGGGGCUUUGCUAUAUCCGCUUUAUGGUCAUGGUGAGAUGUCACAAGGCUUUUCCCGUUGUGCUGCUGUUAAAGGUUGCAUCCAAGUAAGUUCAAGUUGAAGUAUUGCUACCUAAUUUCGAGGAAAGUAUCCUAAACUGUUGUUGGCCUGUCCAUACUUCUUCGUAUCUAUCUGUCUUAAUUCUUUAUUUAUUGUUGCGCCCACAUGUGCUCUCUUAAUUAACUUUUUUUCAAUAUGUUUUUACUUUCUUGAAAAUUUUCGGUUUGUCUCUGACUGUAUCUUCCAAAUUUGUGAAUUAUAUUACUUUCAGAAAGAACAUUAUUUUAGCUUGAUGUUAUAGCUCUAUUGUUUCACUUUAAAAUGGGAUGGACUUAUGUUCAUGUGCAUUAAUUCCUGCUAAAAUGAGUCAAAGCACGACGUUUCGCUGGAACUAUAUAUGCACAAACAUACAUCUAUAUUGCUGCAUUUCUUACCUGUAUCUGAAACAUCUCUCAUCCAGGUUCUGCGAAUGCCUGUGACUGCCCUGCUUAUGGACAAGGUAAUGGGUGUACUAAUGAUUGUUCAUACUAUAACAUAUUUACUGAAAUAAACUAUUGUUACCAGAAAGUUUCAAAUAGUUGAUGUGUAUCAUCGCUCGAGCUUUUGCAGGAAAAUGGGCAAUAUAAGGGUGUUAGAUUAGCUUCAGGCGAGGAAAAGCUUAGUCAUCUGCUGGUUUUGGAUCCAACCUUGACAGUCCGAUUGCCCCCCACUUCAUCUUCACCAGAUUUGAAAGAAACUCUUCAAGUUUUAAAUCUGAAAGAUGAUAAACGAAAGGUGGCCAGGGGAAUAUGUAUUACAACCCGUUCCUUGAAGCCAGAUGUAUCAAAUUUAUUGCUUGUAUAUCCUCCUAGAUGUAAGACUUAAAUCUGGUUAUGUUAUUUUGCUUCUUUGAAAUCGACUACUAGAACUAAAAUUGCUUGUCUCAAUUCCUCCCCCAGCUUUGUUUCCUGAGCAGGAUACUUCAAUCCGGGCUAUCCAGAUAGGUGGCGGUUCGGACAAAUUGGCUGUUUGUCCAUCAGGCAUGUAUGUUUAUGAUCUGGUUUCCUGUAGUUACGAUAUGAAACUGUCUAGUUACUUGGUUCUACUGCCUAGAUGUUACUGAAUUUAGGUGGCUAAAAGGAGUUAUUAACAGUUACCACUCCUUCUUUUGUGAUCGUAUGGAUUAGAUUUAAAUGGCAAAAAAAUUUAACCCACCCUCAAACUUUUGAGGAAUCUGUUAAGUUUGACUUUGUUUGCCUUCUCUACUUCAGGUUUGUAUUAUAUUUCUCUGGUUUAUGUGAUGAUGCUGAGCACGGGAAAAGGUUACUACAUGCGGCCAUGAACACACUUCUCACUCUUCCUAUAUCUGCAAAUCCUGAAAGUGGUUCCGCAGUUCAAAGUGAAGAUGCAGAAGUAAAACCCACACUACUUUGGAGUACGUUAUACAUUCAGGAGCUCACAAUGGUGCACAAUGUACGUAUGGACAAAAGUUUGUUUCCCCGUAAAUUCUGUCUUGCACUUGUUUGAUGCUGUUUUGUUCUUGGCGCUGUUUCAUAUCGAGCUAUGAUUUACAUUGAUUUCAGGGUGAACAUGAAAACAUCUUCUUCACUCCCGUGCCAGAUGGAAAUCUUAACUACAAUGAUCUCGUAGAUUCAACUGCGGCGGUACAUAUUCUUUUAACUGACUAUUUUUGCUUCAUAGCUCUUUAUGCUUAAUUACACGUUACCUUUCACACCUAAUUUUAACCCUUACGACUGGUUUGGUAUUGCUGUGCUUUUAAAAAAAACUGCUUUUGCUGUGCUGUGAGAAUAAACUCAUUUUUGCUGCAUCAUGUUUUCAGCUUAUUUUCACAGGUUUGGUAUUGCUGUGCUUUUAAAAAAAAACUGUUUUUGUUGUGCUGUGAGAAUAAACUCAUUUUUGCUGCAUCACGUUUUCAGCUUAUUUUCACCCAAAACUGUGAAAAUAAGCUGUUUUUAAGUAUUUACCAAACACUUUUUUGAGCUCGGCUUUUUUUUUAUAUCCACUUUUUAUAAAAGCACCCCAGUACCAAACCAGUACUAAAUCUUGGUGUUGGAUGCUGGUUCUCGACAGCUUUUCCAAAAGAUGUAUCCCGAUGAGGCAUUCUUUGCGGAGACACCCUCCUCGCCGGAGGAGCCUGAGAAUCCGGAGGAUGAUACCGAGCUUAAUCUAGAUGACUAAUGGAGGUUUGUCAGAUUCAAGUCAGUGUAUACUGCAUACUGGGGGUCAGUAAAUCAUCCCCACAACGCAUUGCCACAUGAAUAUGCCAGCUGUGGAAAUAGGACUUGUAGCAUCUUGUACUCUAUAAGCAAGAAAAUAAUGUCCCUUUUUUCUUCCAAGAUUCUUGCAAUUCCCUACUUACAUUGUUUGUCAAGAUUGCAUUUUGCCUUUCAAUUUUGUUGACAAGAAGAUAUUGAAAAUGAAAACGUAUAUAGGAAAUUUCUGGCUCAGGAAAGAUCUUUUGUCAAGCCGGCUGUUCAUAAGGGCUGGUUUGAUAUUGUUGUGCUUUGAAAAAAAAAAAAACUACUUUUACUGUGCUGUGAGAAUAAGCUCAUUUUUGCUGCUUCACGUUUUCAUUUUUUUCACAAAAAACUGUGAAAAUAAGCUGUUUUUAAGUGUUUACUAAACAUUUUUUUGAGUUUAGCUUUUUUUUUAUACUAACUUUUUAUAAAAGUAUUUCUGUACCAAACCAGUACUAAAUAUCGACAAACAUAUUGGGUCGGAUUAGUUAUUUGAUCAGGCGGUCUGAUCUCAAUAGAAUUUGCAAUUUAGAGAAACAGAAAGGCCUUACAUGCAAAAUACAUAAGAAGCACAGAACUCCCGGUGGUCCAACCGUCCCUACCAUCCAAUCCCAUCAAAAGUUGUGCAUCAAUGGCUGUUUCUGCUUCAAUGGAAGUUGCAAACAUAUCGAACAAGGUAAAGUUAAUUAAUUAAUUAUUAUUUCCAGCUCCCAUUUUCGCCACUUCUCAAACAUUCCCAAAGUAGUUGCUAACGUUUCGUGACCAAGUUUUAUUUUACUUUGACCAAAAUGUCCCUGUCACUUUUUCCAACUAUUUGAUUAUGUCCAGUGUUUAAAUUUUUUUCUAUAUGGUAGACACUUUCGCGGAAGAAAAAGGACGGUGAACACACAAAAGUGAAAUUUUUUUUUUUUUUGUGGAUUUUUUAGCAUCUUAUAAUUUAAGGUCAAUUACUGUGCCAACAUUAUAAAAUGUUGUACUAAAAAUAUGGAGAGUUCGUAAAUAAUCCCACUUUAUAGAUAGAUCCCUUUAGCAUUUCUCUUCUGUAAAAAUAUAGAAAAAAUCGGAAAGAUAUGAAAACGGAGGUGAAGUUUAAACUUUACAAGAUAUCAGAGAAACUCUUAACUUUCAGAUAAUCGAUAGAUUUAGUUGAUAUUUUCGACAUAUGAUUUAUUUAGUUGGUAUCAGAAUUCGAACCUACGUCAGGUCAUAUAAGAACUUAACUCAUUUCUACCACUGUGAUAAAAAUCACUUAUUCUAAAAUUUCAUUUUAAAUAUCCAAGAAAAACCAAUUUCGACAUGUAUAUAUAUUUGGGAAAGGGAUCCUCUCCGUAUCAUUUUCACCAAGUUCACUCAUUCAGAUGAUUGAAAUUUACUCCAAUGGUUAAAAUUAUUUUAAUUUUUAAAGAAGUUCCUUAGCCAUUAGAUUAAAUUUUAAUGUUCCGGAUAAAUGAACUUGAUAAACUUGAAUGAAUGGAAGGAAUUAGAAAAAUAUCCCUUUCCAUAUUUUUUACCGAUACCGAUAUUUUAUUCGCGGGGUGCGUUUGGUACGUGGGACGGGACGGAACGGGACGAGGCGUUCCGUCCCGCGUUUGGUGCGCCAAAAAUGGGUGGAACGGGUUGUUCCACGGGACAUAUUUUGGGUGUUUUUGCGUCCCACCUCCCUCUGGAACGGGUUUGUUCCACGUCUGUGGAACACAAUGUUUUACCAUUUUAAGACAAAUAUACCCCAUGUCUUUUUAAAAAAUUACACCUUCGUUCCGUCCCGUCCCUUCCCGUCCCGUCUCGUCUGCGUACCAAACGCACCCUAAGGGUGCGUUUGGUACGCAGACGGGACGGGACGGGACGGGACGGAACGGGACGGGACGGGACGGGAAGGAACGGGACGGGACGGGACGGGACGGGACGGGACGGAACGAAGGUGUAAUUUUUGAAAAAGGCAUGGGGUAUAUUUGUUUUUAAAUGGUAAAACAUUGUGUUCCACAGACGUGGAACAAACCCGUUCCAGGGGGUGGAGGUGGGACGCAAAAACACCCAAAAUCUGUCCCGUGGAACAGCCCGUUCCACCCAUUUUUGGCGCAACAAACGCGGGACGGAACGCCUCGUCCCGUUCCGUCCCGUCCCGUCCCGUCCCACGUACCAAACGCACCCUAAGUGCGAGUUUUUAUGGCAUAAAGAGGUACCGUGAGGAAUGACUGAUGCACUUUAUUGUCAUUUUCCAGGUCAGAAGAGAACAGAGGUUGGCGUGGCAGUCCGCGUGUAUUAAGUAGCUACAUGACAAAAUCAUAUAUUUUCUAAUUUUUCGAAGAAAAAAUAAUCAAUUUAUUGUACAAUUUAGCCUAAUUUUUUCCCUCUUUUAAUGUGAAAAUAUUGUUGUAACUAAAAAACCAUUCACAAAGAAAAUUAUAUAUUUUCCUAAAUAAACACAAUUUUUACCAUGAAGAUUUUUAUAAAACUAUUAAGCGUACGUAUAGAUUAUGUUUGAAGAAAAUGUUAAAUCAGAAAAACGUUAUUAUAAUUUAACGUAUUUUUUAAAAGAGCAUUAAGUUCCUGAAUGCUUAGGUUACGUUAAUAAUUAUUACUGUAAAACUAUUAAAAAUAUAUAUAAGUUUGUUGUUUAAUUAGCACAAGAGGAAGAUACGAAUUUAGACCACUUCUAAUAUUGAAAAAAUAAGUAUUACAUUUAACGCAAUUUAAAACUCUGUAUUAAUUCAGGAAGUUUAUAGAUUUGAUAACAUUAACUAUUAUCGUCAGUCGUACCAUGUUUUGAUCGAGGCCAUUUUAAUUUUAUUUCAAAUUUCAGGGAGAAAAAAACCUGGAAUUAUAGAAAAGGGCAACAAAAAAAAAGUAGGAGAAAAAAAUUACAAAUUUAAGAACUUGUUCCAAAAUUCAAAGCCUGGGUUUUUGCAUUCGUUCAUUCCAUUCCCUCUCUCUCUGCUCACCGCUUUGAGCUGUCACUACUCUAGCAGCAAUGCACUAGUCCUUCUUCCCUACUUUUACCACCCCCACAGCACUAUGAUCUUCUUCUCUCCCUUCUUAUGGAUUCCUGUGACUGUGAUUGUGAACCCCAUUUGCUGAGAUCGCUCCUCGUCUUCAAGAACACCAUCAACCACGGUGAGUUUAUCAAAACCUACCAUCCCCAUUCUCCAGUUUUUCGUUUUUCUAUCCGUAGAUUGAAUCUUUCUGCUCUUCUGCUUGUUGGGUUUUGUUUGUUUUCUCAUUUUUUUGAAAAAAAAAUGGUUUUUUGUUUUUGUUUUUGUUUUUUUGGCAGAGUUGAUCAGGAGCUUGCAUGUGUACGGAUUGGAUGAGGGGAAGAGAAAUGAGGUGGAGAGAGAGUUUGUGUUCAGAGAAAAUGGGUUGUAUGUGGAGCUGCCAGCUGAGCCGCUUUUGAGAUUGAUGAAAUUUCCAGCUUCCCAAGUGCUCCAAGGGCAUGUCAACGGCUGUUGGGUCUGCAUUUUAGCAUUUCAUGAAAAUUCACCACCUGAUUUUACAUGCAUUCCCUCUAUACUUUCAGUCUCCAGGUACCCUUUCAGUCUAAUGAAUUUAAUCUUAUGUUUUUUCUCUGUUAUUGAUGUUUUUCAUGCUCUUGUUCUUUUGGUUGGGGGUAGUCAUUGUUUGUGUUUGUGUUUGUGUUUGAGAUGCAAUAAUUGCAGUAUUAACCAAUUACGGAUUUGUAAACAUGUCGUUAGAAUGACUAACUUUAUGUUUAAGCCUGUAAAUGUAGAGGAGAUUGGUUAGAAAAGAAAUUCAUGGUGGUAGUCUCCUCAUUUCGCCGUUGGAAGAGUUGGUGGUUUGUUGAAACUCUUUUGUUUUUGUGCGGCUUUAUAUUCCUUUUUCAGGCAUUGCCAAUCCUAGUUAACUAGGUACUGACAAAUGAGUAAAGAUGUCCAUCUUAUCGGGUUUCAGUGCCCGAGAAAUUCUUCCAGGAGCCAGUGUGUGAAGCGCCCCUAUCGCAUUUGCCCCUUGCGUGCUUUACAAGGGGUGCGUGGAACGCCCUUUCAGAUUUGCGCGUAUGUGAUCAGUUAUUAUGAGAAGCGUAACGCGCUGGUCAUGUUACCUGUUUUAUGUUAGAAUUCGUCCAGCCUGGCUUGAAGAGAUUGAAUGAUAGUCAAGUGUGAAACCUUCAUUAGUGUUGAAAUAUGCUCGUAACGUCUAUGCUCUUUCAAACUUAAUCAGGAGGGUCUACUGUUGAAUUUGAUGUGCAUCCCCUGAGGUAUUAGCAGUUCAAUAUGAAAAUUCUCUAAUUGAAAUUUAUCUAAGAGUCUUAGAGUUCAUCGAGUGAUCUCUUCCUCCGCUCUAUUGAUUGAUAUGUCGUUACGAUAGGAUAUGAAAACAUAUUUGGUAGAUAUCUCCGUUUUCCUUUUUUUUUACGUUUCCCAACAAAACAAUUGAUCUUUGCUGAAUAUGUAAUCCUAAUCCUAAUUCUAACAAUAUUUUCUCCAAAUCUUUCAGAAAUCCGAAGUUGAAGACAAUUCCAAAAUUGUCUAAUGAUCUUCAGAUAAUUUUUGAGUUGAGCUGCAAAACGGAUGACAAAAAAUCAUUGCAAAGGUCACGGCAGGAAACAAGCCAAGUGAGUAAUGACAGUCACCACAAAUCAAGAAGGUCGCCGAUACCUGAUCUGGAUCUGAACUCUCUUCCUAGCCCCAUCACAAUGUCUGAUUCAUCUGAGGAUCAAGAAAGUGGAAGAAGUUCACCAGGUUAGAUGCCAUGGCUUUCAAUUAUUGUUGCCACACAUUGCUUUCUGUUCUUCAGAUUCAUUUUUGUAGUUGUUGCCAAGGUAGAAAUGUUCAAAUAUCUAUGCAGUAUGCAUCCUAUGGGUUUUUGUUUUAAUUUUUUUAUUUUUUAUUUUUUAUUAAUGGCAUUGGAGUAUAUGGAAUUUCUCUUAGCAGCAGCUUACUUAAGAAUGCUGCUACGUAAAAGUGAUGCAUAUCUUGAAUUCUGACUGUCAUUUGUUAAUGUAUAAAAAAGGUCGUACCCAGUGCACAAGGCUCCCGCUUUACACAGGGUCUGGGAGAGGUGAAUGUCGGCUAGCCUUACCCCCAUUUAUGGAGAGGCUGCUCCCAAGUCUCAAACCCGAGACCAAAAAUCUUUUUUCUUCAAUGUUUGUCCCCCAAUUAAAAUACUUCUGCAUUAUUUGAAUUUGAUAUCUCAUAGGUUAGGUGCAAGGUUGCAGGUAUUACAGAGAAGAAGAAAAGGGCGCCAAGUGGACGCAUAGCAAAUAUCGCUUUAUCAGAUCUGGCAAAGUAUUUUGAUCUACCAAUUGUGGAAGCUUCGAGAAAUCUGAAUGUUGGACUCACCGUACUUAAAAAGAAAUGCAGAGAAUUUGGCAUUCCUCGGUGGCCACAUAGGAAGAUUAAAUCGCUUGACAGUCUCAUUCGUGAUCUUCAGGUCUGUCCUAUUUCCCCGUCCUGCUAUGUUCACUCACUUUCCAUUUUAGUGAACAUUCACAUGAUUGUACUAAAUGAAAUAUCUCCCAAACUCAAAGAUAUUGUUACUUUGCUAACUGGAAAUGGGCAGAAAAUGAGCGCCAAUAAGUUCACGUAAAGCAGAUGAAAGAUAGGUGUAAGGAAUGAAGACUUGAAUAUGCAGUAGGCUGUAUGCAUGUAUCGACGUAUUUUCAGAGUCACAUAUAUUGGCACCUAUUUUACGUGUUCAGCUGUUUAUAUAUAUGAAUGUGCAGGAAGAGACAGAGAUCCAACAAAAGGAGAACAAAGCCGCAGCCUUGGCACUUCUAAAGAGGCAAAGGAUGCUGGAGAGGGAAAGAGAAAGUAUAGAGAGGCGACCCUUCUUGGAGAUAAGCGAGACCAAAGUUCGGCAAGAUGUUUAAGAGAAGGCACAGAGUAGAGUUCGAGCGGGAGGCCUAUCAACCUCUUCCAAUUAAAGCAUCUGUAUAAAGUAUUAGGAGAGCUUUUGAACUCGUUUCAAAAUUAUAAGAACUUCUAAAUUCUGCUUUUCUUGCAUUGGGGCUCAUGGCUCAAAGCUCCCCCCUUUAGUUUCUGAUAUUACUUUUGGUAAAUCAAUAAAUUUUAUCCCUAGUUCUGGUAUUGCUUUUGUGUUCGAUGACAGUUUAUGACAUGUUCACUUAAGUUGAAACGAGAUAGAAUGUGGAGUUAUUCUAAUUUUUAACUUCUCGUAGCACACGGGUAUUGGAAAUAUCGAUUCCUGACUUCCUAUGUGGCUCAUAAAUUAUAAACUGCAAUCCAAUCCCUGAAAUAUCAUGAAUUAGAUUGAUAUAGGGGCAGUAGUUGAUUUCAUUCUCAUUCCUGCUCUCACCUACUUUUGGCUUUCUUGAUUCACGACUUCUCUUCUAAGUAAACAAACUUGUUAGUUAGUCGAUUUCCAUUUGAGGUUUUGGAGCUCCUUACAUCUUCCAGUCAACUUUUUCUUGCUUUACAAGUCAUAGUUGUGGAUGCAAAUUUCCGUCAUCUUCUACUUUGACGAAAAUGCAUCUGCAAAAUAAUACCACCUAAAAUUAAGGCAAAAAGCCUCAUGCGGUCAUGAUGAAUGGGGGCUUUGGUCGAAGAAUCUCCGAUACCAAUGUUAGAAUUCUAAAAAAAUGUAUUUAGGAGCUUAUGGGUAUCAAAUGACUUAGCAUUUAGUGAGAUAAGAGGGAUAUUUAUAAGAGGGUGGCUGGCCAUAUAUGGAGUAAUAGGAGAGGUGUAGAUGUAUGUGAAUAAUAAUCUUGCAAUUAACGGCCACUUAAUUCCUCUUUAAAUUAAAGAUUUCGGAGUUAUAUUUUAAGAAAAUCACUAGGGAUUGUGAGGAGUGAUGAGAAGAAUUUGAAUAAAUACCAUAUUAAUCAUCUUUGACUCUUUCUUGAUUGAGCCGUUAUUAUCUGUUGUAUGCGCGUGGGAAUUCCGAUAUGUCUCGAGGAUAAUCUCGUCUUUUUAACCCAAAAAUCUACGUAUCGCCUCCAUGAUUUUUUGAAUUAUUUUUUGUCACAAUGAUUCAAGUGUGCUCACCAUUGAUCAUUGCCUUCCUUCAUCACCCCUAACGAUAGUUCAUAAUAAUUCCAUACCAAAACCAGAAAUUAGAUUAAUUAUGAGAAGUAGUUUGUCUCAUUAUUCUUCUUUCUAAAUACAUGAUUUUUCUAAUUCACGACUUUUUAUUUUGAGCAAGUAAAGAUGAUAGUUAUGACUUUCCAUUGAACUUCCAGUCAGACAGAUUUAUGUAUACAUGCUUCCAUGUAAACGCUAUAAAAUCUCAGCUUUCCGUCAAACAUGAAUGCAUCCCCCUUGAACAUCUUAAACUGAUGUGCACUUUUUGCUUUGUCUCUUGCCCUAAAUUUCAAAACGGAUACGGCAGCUGACACGAAUUCAUCCUGCUUUUUUGUCCAUGCGUAAGUCACUUCUUCACCCCUCUGGUUGUAGUUUUUUUGUAGAUCUCUUCCACGUGUUGAAGAGAGGAAAACGUUGCAUCUACUUAUAAAUUAUGGGUGGAACCUUGCCAAAUGAUUUUUUGGUGGAACCUCAGGCUCCUUCAACCCCUUUCCUGCAAACUUGCAAAGAAAUCGUAUCGCCUUUUUUGCUUGGGUUCUGAGCGACAUCCUGACUUAAACACUACGGACUUUUAUAACCGUUACAUCUUCAUUUUUCUUUACCUAAUCUAUAAGUUAAAAAGUUCUUAGUACUCUAUAUUCCCGAGCACAUAAAGGUGCAGUUUUAGUUCUUGCUGACAGUCGUUUGGUCUCUAAGGCCAUCUCAAAUAUAGCCCCUCCCCGCUUUUUUAGGGUCCAGUUCCUUAUUUAUAAAUAAUUGGAUAUCAAAUCAUGCACUAGAUUGAAAAUCAAUGUAGUUUAACUAAAGUUAAAUCAUCAAAUUAAAGUUUACAACUCAAAACUAAUAAUCAUGUCACUGUAUGUCUUAGCACAUUCGGUUAGAGAUGAUACAUAAAUAUGGUUUGAUACUAUUCAUUUGUGAUAAGGUCUAAAUUCUGGGACAGACUAUAUUUAGCUAUUCGGGGAAGAUGACUUAAAUUUAUGGCCGGUAAUUGAUCUAGCGUGUGUUUGCACGUGCCAUGCCCUGUUACGUUAAGUUGUGUAUAACGUGCCAAUUGCGGCUGUUUAUGUUUUUUCUGCUUUUGCUUUAAUGGCGACUCCGUUUUGAUCCCUUCUUGCAGGAAGUUGUGUCGCUCUUCGGCUUUGAUGAGCAAAAGUGAGUCCCAAAGUCAGUAGUCCCAAUUUAUACGUUUUUGGAAACUCAAAACUCAAAAGGACAACGAUCACCAGUUAUUUUUCUUCCAAAAAUGGACAUAUUACAAUCCUUUCCUCUUUGUAUAACUUAAAUGAUUAUAUAAAAUAGUUUUUUCAUUUUCGUUGAUACUUCAAUAAUCUAAAUCGACAAUUUCUAGGAGGUAUCAUGUUGCCUUGAACUUGUGACCAUUGACGCCAAUUUCUCCCCUCAACUUUUAAUUUUGUCAAUUCCCCCCCCCUCAACUUCAUAAUUAGUCCAUUUCUCCAUCAACCUUUAUUGGUCAAUUUCCCUGCUUUCCACCUCAACUUCAUAAUUUCUCCAAACUUUGCACCCUACGUUAAUUUUUUUUUAAUUUUCCAUCUAGUUCUUUUUUUUUUUUUCAUCUUAUUCUAAUUCCACCUUUGCUCUAAUACUCCAAAGUAGGUAAAUUAACAAAACAUAAUAAGUACAAAAAGUAUGUUAUGGGUUGAUUAUAAGAACAAAGUUAUGAAUCGGGUUUAAGCAUGUAGAAGAAGAAAUAAUAAUCAUAAACUCUGGAUCAGACCUAUUUCAAUCAAAUGGGUUAUUCUUAAUAAGGAGUCGAAAAUUAUGAAUUGACUAGUCAUUUUGCACUAAAAUUCGAUUCUCCGCAAUUUACUUACUUAGCUUUCACUUUUAUAAAGAAUUGUAUUUCACAUACAAAAAUGUACACAUCAAUCCUUUUCGUUAUAUUUUGUUAGUAAAAAUCAAAUAAAAUUACUCCAUACUGAUUUAUUUGACUAAUAAUACUAUCUAUGAUAAAUUAUAAAAUUCUAAAUUUUAAUCUAUUUGUAAUAGGAUAAGAAUAGGAAAUGAUUAAAUACAUCUUAUUUAGUUUCUUACACACACUUGUUUAUUAUGAAAACUAAAAAUUAACAGUAUGGUGUAAAUUGACUAUUAUGAGAGUUGAGGGGGGAGAAAUUCGGCGCCCAACUAGUCAAGUUUGGAGGGGGAAUUUGACUUUAAUUAUAAGAUGUUUUUAACUCAAAAAUCACAAACAUUAAUGUGAGUGGGCAAUUUCAAUAGUUCACAAAUUGUGAGAAUUUGCAAAUUGGAUAAUUAACUAACACACAACAUUUACUAAAACUAUACUAUUUUUGUAUUGUAAUCCAAACCCUACAAUAACCUAAGCAUUAAAUGCUACAUAAUUUACUCAAUCCGGGCUCAAAUCACGUUAAAUUGGUGCUAUGCCACAUAGAUGUUAAAUGCAUGGCUGGACUGAGCUUUGCAUAGACUAAAUGGUUUAUGCUAUGGUUUGUGAAAAAUUUCUACAUAAAAACUUGUAACCAAGACUCAGCUCGAAGUGCUUUCGAGUUCCCACCAGCACCAAAGCCAUGAUUAUCGAUGUUAUAAAGUGAGUCCAGUGUGUCUGCGGCAGACGGUAGGCCCCCUGCAGGUCAGGGCGCCGUAGGCCCAAGUUAAGGCCACCAUAUUAGGGUGCUAUAUUUAUAUACUUUUAUAAGAGUACUAAUUUAUAAAUUUGACUUCCCGACACAGAAAUUUUAACUAGAAGUGUUGGUUUUGUCAUUCUGAAAAUAACAGCGUGGUCUUGGUUCAAACUCAUGUGUGUUAUUUAUUUCCUUUUUUUACAAUUUCUUUUAUAAGAGUAAUGUAGAAAUUUGGUUAGAUCAAGAGUUUAAUUAGAAACAAUGAUUUUUGUUGUUUUAACAAUCUAAAACGAAAUGCUAAUGUGCAUGUUAUUCUUUGAUUUUUCAAAUUUUUGUUUUUGUAUGGUUUUAGUUUACUUUAGUACAGUGUCUAUUAGAAAUAUGUUAUUCAAGUUUUUGUGAAAUAUUGUGUUUUUUAGUUCCCCCCGCCUCUCUCCUCAAAAAAAAUAAUAUAAGGUAAUUUCCAAUGCAAUAUAACAAUAUCUUUUUGUUUCUUAUCAGGUCCGUUCAAAGAAGUCUAAGAAAAACACCUCACCGAUUAUCAAACCAAUUCAAUUCAAAUGAUAAAAUAAUCCCAUUGGCCCAUUCUGCCCUCUCCGCAAUAAGAGUCUUCUCUUUUAAAUUUAUAUGAAGCAACAAAUCUGUUCUAUUUUAACAUUUUCUAAUGAGACUUCGUUAUAAAAAAUCUCGAAACUCCCCGGAUUUCGUGUGUGGUUAAUAAUUGAUCGCCAUGAACAAUUUACUUUGUUUUGAAAAUAAGGAUGGGAAGAAUUUUGUUAUCCAGAUUUUCAAAAAAAUUCCCAAAAGUCCAAAAUGGGUAUACACAGGACAAUAUGAUCUAAGUCAAAAAUCUCCUUAUUCAAUAAAGGAAAACCCGUUGUAACUUAUGCUGGUUCACUGCUGUCUACAUCAAUCUAAGCUGUGAAAGAACUAUUUUGCUUCCAUGCUGUGGCUCCAUUACGAGUGUUAUAGCAUAUUUUUUGAUCUCAGUGUAAUUUUUAAGAGACUUAAUUUCUUUUUCAGUACCGCUAAAAGACUGUGGUAGUAAAAUAAAAAUUGUGUGGCAUUUUACGUUGAGGGAACACAUCCUUAAUAAGGGAGAUUAAUUAUGUAAAACGUUUGUUAUAAAAUUGGAUGUAAUUUUAGGGAAGCAUUCAAAGUUCCUUUUUAAGGUAUUCAUUGAUCUAAUAAAAAUAGCACGGGGUACUCAUUCGUAUUUUUUUUAUCGAAUUUAAACGAAGUAAAGUCAUUUUAAUAAUGUAGAGUCCUUUCUAGAUUUCUCUGUAAUUAUUUUUAAAUUAUUUUGAUUUUAAAAAUAAAUAAUCGUUUAGUUUUUUUUAGAGAAGGCUAUUUCAAAUUUGGUGGAAGACUCCAAAAUGGUGAUCUGAUGAUAGCCACAAUCAUUUAAUCAAACAGUUUUUUUUAGUUCAUUAUUCAAUAUGAAUAAUUCCGAAAUUAGUUAUAAGUCUGUAGCUCGGGUUUUCCUGUAUUAAUUCCUUGGUCCCAAAUUUUUCCAAAUUGUGGUGUCCAUCAAAGACCUAAGAUGUAUAAAAAUGUAGUAUAACAUGUAAUAAAAAUUACCGCUUGCGCCUGCUGACUUGGGUGAUGAGCGGCUGCACCCCUUAUAGACAUACAUUUUCUUUAUUUGUCGAUCUAAUACCCAUAAAAAAACCGGGAAUUAGAUUAAGAGUAAUGCUAGUAAGCUAAUGUAUAAGAUUACAAUGUAAAUUAAAUGAUGUGUCACCUAUAAGAAAUAAGCACGCUAAUCAAUACUUCAGUAAUAGUUCAAUCAUCAACUUUCAUGUCAUAUAGUUUACAAAAUUUUGUCUACACAUUUAGUCUUCUCGUUCCUUCUUAUCUGAGGUAGUUUAUCUAUAGAUCCUUUUCCAUGAAUUCCAUGCUUUCCGAAUUCACGACUCUUUUCAUUUUGACGUAAAAGUAAAACAUAGUACGUUAUGAACUUAGUAAUGCUAGUAAGAUAAAUUUUAUAAACAAAAAUUUGUAACAAAUGAUGUAUCACCUGUAAAUUCAAAUGACCAUAAAAGUUCUACAAAAUUUAGUUGUCCUAGCAUUCAUCCUUCCAGUCAAACAGACUCAUGUAUAUAUGCUUGCUUCCUGUAAACAACUGUAAAAAUCUCAGCUUUCUGUCAGCCUGAAAACAGCUGACUUUCAUUCCCCCUGGACGAUCUUAAACUGAUCUCACUUUUUGCUUUGUCUCAUGCCUAAAUGUCAAACAGAAAAUGCGGCUGACACGAAAUUCAUAGAAACUUCGUUAUCCCAUGGGUGGGUUAACUUCUGGUCGACAGAUUCAUGACUUUCCGAAUUCACGACUUUUCAUUUUGAGUAAGUAAACAUACUAGUUAUGAAUUGAGUAAUGCUAGUAAGCUUAAAUUUAUAAACAAAAUUUGUAAACUAAAUGAUGUAUCACCUGUAAAUUAAAUGACAUAAAAGUUCUACAAAUUUAGUUGUCCUAGCAUUCAUCUUCCAGUCAAACAGACUCAUGUAUAUAUGCUUGCUUCCAUGUAAACACUGUAAAAUCUCAGCUUUCUGUCCAAGCAUGAAACAUGACUUCAUUCCCCCUGGACGAUCUUAAACUGAUCUGCACUUUUUGCUUUGUCUCAUGCCCUAAAUGUCAAACAGAAAAUGCGGCUGACACGAAUUCAUAGAAACUUUCGUUAUCCCAUGGGUGGGUUAACUUCUGGUCGACAGGUCAGGCGCGGAGGCUUGCCUUUACCUGCGGGCACCUUUUCUCCAAACUUGUGAAGAAAUCAUAUCAUCUUGUUUUUGCUAAAAAAUUAUACGGUGUUUCGAAGUAUAAGACACUCUCUAAUUAAAGUACUUCGAUUUUUUUUAACUGUUAAACUUUAAAAUUUUUAUUUUUAAUUAAAAAUUCAAGAGUAAAAAAUUUCGUGGUAUCUUAUAUUCCGGGCACCAGAAAAUGCAUGUUUAACUUUGUGCUUUGGACACUUCGUUGAUUCUUCGCAUCUGGGGUUUUGGCCUGGGAGUGUGUGCUAGCGUGUGUAAAACGUGAUACUUGCGGCUACUUGUAAACCUGCUUUUGCUUUGGUUUUAUUUAUUUAUUUUUUUUUGAAAGGAGCUUUUGCUUUGGUUUUAUUGGCGGCUCGGUUUAGCUCACUCGGUCUAAGGAGAAAUUUUUAGUUGUGACGGGAAUAAAGAUGAUACAUUACGUGUUUUUAUGCAAGUGAUGGAAAAUUUUAAUUUUUAAGUUAUUAACCUUUAACACACAUAACCGACCAUGUAUAGGGACACGUGAUGUACCACAUCGUGUAACGGUUACAUUGAAAAAUCUCUUUGGUCUGAACUGUUUCUAUAUUUUUUCUUCUUUCACGAGCAAAAGUAAGCAGCCUCAAUAUUAUUCAUUUGAGGAAACUCAAAAGCAUAAUGAUCUACUGUGAUUUCUUUUCCAAAAAUGGACAUACCUUUGUGUAACUUAAAUGGUUAAUAGAUUGAAAGAACAUUUUUCAAUUAUCAUUCACGCUUCAAACAAUCUAAUACAUUUACGAUAUGUAACAUCUAAAAUAUAAGAUUUUUCUUCAACCACAACUACAAAUGAUUAAUUCACAGUUGUUGCAAGUAGACAUAUAUAAGAAUAUAGCCUCUCAUAUAGAAGACGCUUACUCAACAAAUUAAGAGCGAGUUGUUGCAACUUAUUAUGACUUACAACUAGUUGAAAUCAAACAUAAUAAUUUCAACAAAUAUACGACCCUAGGAGAACUACUAAUCAUUUUUUUCUAGGUGGAGUUACAUAUCCCAUUGAGCAUUAUUAUCUGAGUUCGUUUAAAUCUACAAAAUUGAAUCUUCAUUGCUCAAAUCACGUAUAAAUUAUUAAAUUGUAUUCCCCAUAUAUACAUGUUAAAUGCAUGAUUGAGAAUUUGCGAUGGGCUAAAAGUGUUUUCUAACUACUAAAAAUGUUUCAAACUAUGUUUGGUAGAAAAAAAAAAAUCUACAAUAAAAAUACUUCUAGCACAAAGAUUUACGACACAAAUGCUUUCGAGUUCCCAAUCAGCACUAAAGCCAUGAGUAAUCGAUUGUAUGAAGUGAGGUCCGUGUGUCCCCCGCAGAGUAGGACUGUUGUGUUGGAAGCCACCUUUAUAAGUUGAGUGGCCAUGUAUGCAAAAUCACUUUUGUUUUCUAGAAAAUUAGAACACUAGUCUUUGAGUUUUGGCCUAAUUGAAGUUUUGGUCUUAUAAACUGAAUAUCCUUGAGCAUAUAUGGUCCUUGAAUUUGUUAUAACGUGGAGCAAUGAUCUUGUUUACUAACUUCGUUUGAACUUCUAUCCAAAAUAAAUGGUUUAAAAGGGCGAAAAAUAGAUGAAAGUUUUAACAUAGUUAGCAAAAAGUAUCAUUACUCUACAUUAAUACCAGUUCAGGGACCAAUACUCAUGAACUUUUAAUCCAGGAAACAAAACUCCACUUAACUAUAGUUGAGGGAUCAUUGCUCCAAUUAUCUCUGUUUUUAGUAAAUGUAUAUGCAAAGAUUUUAUUUUUUAUUUCUUAUUUUCACUUGAGGAACCCUUGACAUUGUUCUAAUCAAGGAGAUAUGCUAAAUAAUAUAGGUUGUUAUGAACUUAUGAUGUAUUUUUAGGUUUUAGCAGUCAAAGGCUCAAAUUUUAAGGUACUCAUUGCAUUGUUAUGGGAGCUAUUUUUCUCACCAAUUUAACCAUAGGUGUAUCGUAAUUGUAUUUUAAGGUAUUCAUUGUGUUCUAAUUAAAGAAAAAAAAACAUGCUCAUUGUAUUCUUUAUGAUCAUGCACAUGAAAUUUGGUUUUAUAAUUUUUUACGAAACUUUUAAAAUUAAUUUUAAUAAGUGAUUUUAAAACUUCGUCGAUGAUCUUCUCUGUGAUUAUUUUAAAUUUUUCUAUAUAUAAAAAUAAAAAUUUCACACAGAAUUGCAGAUGCAUGAAUAUGUGUUCUUGGACUGUUUGAGCUACAAAACCCUUCGUAGUUGAGGGUAAGAGAAAAAAAAACUUCGGUCAACCAUUACAGGAGGAGUCUAAUAAGUGUCAAGCCAUUUCUUACCUAUAAGCACUUGGCAUCUAUGUAGUCAACAAGAAUAAUAAUCAAGUGCUCCUUCAUUGGAGACAUUUUUUAAUGUAUAAAAAACACAGCUUUGUACAAUAAGUUUUAUAAUACAUGUGUUUGAUUUUUUUUUUUUUUAAGUAUUCAAUCACUUAUAUUAUGACACGGUGGUGUUAAGGAAACCAAAUUUUUAAACAAAAUUUUGUAAACCAAAUGAUAUGUUUUUUUUUAUGAUUUGAUUGUUAUUUAAGUGUUGAUUAACGCGUUUAUUUCUUAUUGGUGAUAUAUCAUUCGGUUUGCAAAUUUAAUUUAAAAUUUUGAUAUCCCUAACAUUAUCUAAUAAGUAAAAGGCCGAUGAAGAAAAUGCCUAUGCUGCUGCAUGCAGAUAUAAAAGGGGUGUGAUAUCCACACACCCUAUUUUACUUCUCACACACUUUUUUAAUUUUCGGCCGUCGGAUCAGAUGAAUUAAAGAAGAUCAACGAACAUAAAUUAUCAAGAGAUGUGUGAGAAAUAAAAUAAAAUGUGUGGAUAGCACAUCCCUAUAUAAAACUGUGCUGUCAUAGGACGUUGAUAAUAACUGGGGGUUGACUGUCAAAAUCGGUUAAAUAUUUCGUUUUCACAGCUGAUGCCAAGCAAGUGAAAAAUAGAAGGGUUUGGAACUUUGGAUAAAAAGAAAAAGUGCACCAAAUGGAAUUAAGGAUACAGCCAAUUAAUCCUUAUGUUUUGCAAUAUGAAUAUUAUAGUUUACAUCUUUUUGUUAGAAAUUAAAAAAUGAAGCAACCUAGUGGGUUCGUGGCAACUCCCCAGUUGAGCAGAAAGUCCAACUCUCCAACUAUAUAAAAUGCCAAUUCCAACCACAUAAAUUCCACUUCCAUUCUCCUCCUUCAAGAUCUCUCCUUUUGUCUCCCAACCCUUGCAAAAUUACACAGAUCUUUUUUCUAGUUGACAAAAUUGAAUCAUGGGGAAUUGCUGGACAUCUCAUGAUCCUCGUCCGAACAAAUACAUACCUUCAACUCCAGGUACAGUUUGCUCCAACACCAGACCACUUUAAACAAAAAAGGGUCAUCAAAAUUUUCACAAAUUCAUAUUCACGUUAGGUUAGUUGGCCAGGGCAGUCUAUCAGCCUUGCCGCCCUGGUACUCCAAGUUCAUAUCACCCUCUCGAAUAUCUAGAAUAUCGUAUUUUCAGAAGAAAACAGUCAUUGAAUUUCAUACACGGUUCAUGCAUAUUAAUCAUGUGUUAUGUUUUUCUAGGGACAUCGGGAACUCACAGCAAGAACAUAUUAUCAAACACAAGCAGCAGUGUAGGAAGAAGUCAUUUUUCAGAAGCAUCAUCAAGCUCAAAAAUUGAAGAAUUACAAUCACAACAACCCAACGGACGGAUUUUGGAGUUCCCAAACUUGAGAGUCUUCACUUUUGCAGAGAUGAAGGCUGCCACCAGAAAUUUCAAGUCAGAUGCAGUUCUUGGUGAGGGAGGAUUUGGGAUAGUUUUCAAAGGUUGGGUGGAUGAGAAAACACUUCAGCCUUCAAAAGCUGGCACUGGAAUGAUGGUCGCAAUCAAGAAAUUGAACCCAGAAAAUGGGCAAGGAUUUCAAGAGUGGCAGGUAUUUUUAUUUAUUUUUUCAACUUUGAUUUAUUAUUAGGAAAUUUUAAUUAGUCAGACUCAGGACUAGUUGUUCUGCUAUUUAUUUAUUUAUUUUUAAUUUUUGUCAAAGAGUAUAAUUUCUCGAAGACGGCAUCUUUUUUAAUUUUGAUCAUAACAUGAAUUUGGGUUUUAUCCGAAUUCAAAUUAUGAAGAUUUUAAGGAUUCUUAUAUUCUAGUAGUUUAUUGUAUAUCGUGAAAUUAAAAAUUAUUUUGAAUUUUUUAAUUUAAAAUUAAAUAUAAAUAAUAUCUAACGAAAACUAAUUGUACAAUACAUAAUAAACCAACUUGAUAUCAGAAUUCCUAAAAUCCCAUCAAGAAAAUCCUAAGGUAAUCUUCAUCUGAUAACACGUCAUGAUUUGGCAAGCCAGCUACCUCACAGUAUUUAUUAUUUUUUCAAUUCAAUUGGAGUUCAGCAGGACGCGGGCCCCACUUUAGAAGAAAUAUCUGUCGUUUUCUUGUUCUUAACUAAUUAAGAAAUAGAAAUAGAUCGUGAGCAAGUCAUGAGGCCAACAGGAUUCUCUCCUGUUCUUUUUUGGGAAGAUUCGAAGGAUAAUCGUAUUCAUUUAUUGUAUAAUUUUUGUUAGGUGCUGUUUGUAUGUAAUUUUAAAUAAAAAUAUUUAAAAUAAUUUUUAAUUACACAAUUUACGAUGAACGGAUAUGAUUAACAGAUUCCUGUAAUUCUCAUAAAGAGGAUCCAAAUUCAUCAUAAGGGAAGGGAAUUGUUCGACGUGCUAAGAUCAAACCAUGAAUUAAGUUCGGCCGAACUGAAGACGUUUACCCUUGUCAACAACAUUGAAUGAAGAUUUUGUCGAAAAUGUUUCUAACUUGCAUUUGCAUGGCAGAUUAGAAUUUUAUCACAAAAAUAUCUCGAUGCGUUGAUUAAUAGUAGAAUCAUUCAUUAUAUAACUCUUGCACUAUGCAUUGAUCAUUACAUCUUAUUUAUUCGAGCGCCAUUUUUAAUUCAAAAGUAUGGGAAGAUAUAUUUUAUUUUGGUACAGGAGUGAGAAAUUUAAACUUGCAUUUUUUAGUUCCACACUUCACUAGUUUGGAAAGCACCACUUUUGUCAUGACAGAUCAUAUUAGUUGGAGUUCAUAUCUUCAUCCCGUAACAUGUCAUGAUUUGGCAAGCCUGCUACCUCACAGUAUUUAUUAUUAUUUCAAUUCCAUUGGAGUUCAGCAGGACGGGCCCCACUUUAGAAGAAAUAUCUGUCGUUUUCUUGUUCUUUACUAAUUAAGAAAUAGAAAUAGAUCGUGAGCAAGUCAUGAGACGAACAGGAUCCUCUCUAGAGCUUUUUUUGUAAGGAUUCAAAGGAUUUGUAAAUUUUGUUUAUUUAUCGCAUAUUGUGUGAUUAAGUUUUGUUAAAUAUUAUUUGUGUGUAAUUUUAAAUAAAAAAAUUUAAAACGAUGUCUGAUUACAUGAUUUACGAUGAACGAAUAUGAUUCAUGGAUUUCCGGAAUCUGAGGAUCCAGAUUUGUCACGAAGGAAGGGAAUAGUUCAAUCGUGCUAAGAUCAAGCCAUGAAUUGAGUUCGGCCGAACUGAAGACGUUUACUCUUGUCAACAACAUUUGAAUGAAGACUCUGUCAAAAAUAUCCCCAACUUGCAUUUGCAUUGCAGAUUAGAAUUUUAUCACAAAAAUGUCUGAUGCAUUGAUUAAUAGUAGAAUCAUUCAUUAUAUAACUCUUGCACUAUGCAUUGAUCAUUACAUCUUAUUUAUUCGAGCGACAAUUUUAAUUCAAAACUAUGGUAAGAUAUAUUUAAGUUUUGGUAUAGAAGUGAGAAACUUAAACUUGUAUUUUUUAGUUCCACACUUCAUUAGUUUGGAAAGCACUUUUGUCAUGAGAGAUCAUAUUAGUUGGAGUUCAUAUCUUUCUUUAAAAUCCCAAUCCAAGUAGGUGGUGUGGUUUUAAUGUUACAUUGUGAUUUGCUAUGAUGCUAUCCUAGUUAUACAAUGUGGUUCACUGUCUGUCAUGCCCCAUAACCCUAUUUCUUCUUCUUACAUAAUUUCUCAGCAUUACUCUUUCUUUUGAAACUAAAUAUGUUUUUCUUCUCUUGAUCAUAUUUGACAAUUCAGUCGGAAGUGAAUUUUCUAGGACGACUUUCGCAUCCGAACCUGGUGAAGCUAUUAGGUUACUGUUGGGAAGACAAAGAACUACUCCUUGUUUAUGAGUUCAUGCAGAAAGGAAGUUUGGAGAAUCAUCUUUUCAGAAGUAAGAAACCAAUGUGAAACCAUGGAACUUAGGAUAUUUUGCUUCUAUACCAUUUUGUUAACUUCAGAACUUUUGUUUCGAGCAGGGAGUGCGGGCAUUGAACCGCUUUCUUGGGACAGAAGACUAAAAAUAGCUAUCGGAGCAGCUCGAGGCCUGGCCUUCUUACACAGUUCAGAAAAGAAAAUCAUCUACAGAGAUUUUAAGGCCUCAAAUAUAUUGCUUGAUGGGGUUUGUACUUCUACCUAAGCGUUUCUGUCAUACAUAUAUAUUACGUGUACUGCAGUAUCUUUCUAAGAACCCACAACUGUAACCAUCCAUGUGAUAUAAUUUUUUUUAUACAAGCGAUAUUAUUCUUUAUACUAAUCUGAAUGGCUGCAGAGCGAUUUGAAAUUGGAUGCAUGGGGAGGAUCACAUCCACUCUAGCUAAUGUAGCUACAGCGACUCUGCAUGUAUGUGAUAUAAUUAAACUGUCUAUUUUGUUAAUCUCCUCUUUUAUUUAUGCAGAGUUUCAAUGCAAAAAUCUCAGAUUUUGGCUUGGCGAAAUUGGGGCCAGUUGGUGGAGAAUCACAUGUUUCAACUAGAAUCAUGGGAACAUAUGGUUAUGCUGCUCCAGAAUACAUUGCAACAGGUAAUCAAUCUCUAACAAAAAAGGAGGAUCUUUUGGAAUUUAGAUAUGAACAUUUCCUCUGUUGAUUUUCACAAAUCAGCUGAUACAUAUUCCUGACAUGUACUAUACCCUAAACCAACAGGCCAUUUGUACGUGAAUAGCGAUGUGUAUGGAUUCGGCGUUGUCUUGCUUGAAAUUCUGACAGGGCUACGAGCACUUGAUCUGAAACGUCCCAAGGAACAACAACAACUUGUAGAAUGGGCUAAACCACUUCUACUGAACAAAAGAAAGCUGAAAACUAUUUUGGAUGUGCGGAUGGAAAGCCAAUAUGCCUUCAAGGCAGCAAUGCAGACAGCACAGAUUACUGAAAAAUGCUUAGCGCCGGACCCUAAAAGCAGGCCUUCCAUGAUAGAAGUCGUGGAGCAAUUGGAACAAAUUCAAGCAAUCAAGGAACAACCAAAACAAUCCAAACUUACAUCUGUGCAAGCCACUUUUACUUUUGGAGCCAGUAAACAGUCGAUUCGCCGUUCAUCGUAUCACUCUAGGUUUCAUAGCUCUCAUUGAUAAAGUGUGAUAGUGACACUACAAGGUGUAUGCAUGUUGACGUUCAAACAUCAAAUUGAGAAUGUUUGAACAUUCACUUUUCUUUUUAUCAAUUUCCAUAUUGAUUUUUUAUUUAAUUGUAGCAAUUGAAUAUUGAAAUUCAUAACAAAUUUUGUUCUUGUAAUCAUCAUUUGUGCUGAAUUAAAGGAUUGUUUGUUAAACCAUACUAUUAGUAUUAGCAAAGCAGUUUAUAAUAUGGGCUCAGAUGGUUUCUUUUUGAAUAUUGAGCUAUUCGGACCGUUCAAUUUAAAUUUUGCGGUUUCCAUUCGCUCAUCUUACUGGUCUACCUCACAUACAAUCUCUCUCUCCAACGCCAAUAUAUGUCUCUUGAAUUUUCCGGAUUACUCGAUCCACAGGCUCGGGAGAGUGAGAUCCGUAGGAUCUCAAUCCGUUUUUUUCCAAAGCAAUAUUACAAUGAUCUCGACUCUUAAACACAGCACGAAUCUAUCAAGCUCCACGCGUCGAUCAAUUAUUCGUCACACCUAUGUUAAUCAUAAUUAACAACCGCAUAAUAUAUAAUACAUGGAAAUAUUAAAGUAGAUAGUUCAUGUUAAUUGCAUGCUGCGUAUGAAAUUAAUAUGUGAGUUUUUUGUUGAAAAAUGGCAGAUAUUGUGACUUUCAUAACUGCAAAGGGAAAUGAUGAUCCUUACCAACUGAUCAAAUGCACUUAGAGCAUUUCACGCAUGUAUAAAGAAGAUGCACAACGUUCUUUAAUAUCAAUGAUUACAUUCGUUAGCUAUCUAGUUGUAACUACCUCAUUAUGAUAACGUAAUUUGUAGAAUUAUUUUCACACACAUUUUUUUUCUCCAUCAUAAUCAUGUUAUAAUGGAGAAAGGUGAAGAGCAUUUCACGCAUGUAUAAAGAAGAUAACAAUGUUCUUUAAUAUCAAUGAUUACGUUGGUUUGAUAUCUGGUUAUAAUAACGUAAUAUGUAGAAAGUGAUUUUCACACAUAUUUUAUCUUCCUAUCAUAACCGUGCUAUUUUCUAACUUUUAGAAUAAACUAAAAAAUAAUUAAGUAAAAAUAGAAGAAAGUGUUUGAAAAUCUUUUUCAAAGAAGAUAAAAUAAACAUCCAUUUAACCAAGUCCUCUUUUGAACAAAAACCUAAGGAACAACUGGGACAAAGUCAGCUACAAGAAUAUGAAAACAUAACUCAUGAGAUGGUGAGAUCAUUGUAUAGAAGUUUUUAGUUAUUUGCGUUAUUUGCGUUAUUUGUGUUGUUGGAGGAGGUCUUGAAUUUAAUUUUCGUCGUAUUUUUAUUUGCGUUAUUACAUUAAAAAGAAAAAAAGACCAAACUUUUAAUUAAUUAUGAUAGUUGAUCAGGUGAUGUGACUGUUAAUAAAUACUUACAGUUAUAUCAUAUGGUUCAUGUAUACGUAGUUUGAUAGUUGAAGAUCCAAACUAAAUUCACAAAUACUAUUUCGGCAAUGCUUUCAAUGCUAGAUUCGAGCGGCUUCGAUUCAUGGUGGUAGCAAAGGUAUAAUUAGUGUGGAUGCAAAUUUUCUCCUCCUCGAUCUUGGACGAUUUUGCACCUACAAAACAACUAGCACCUUAGGUUAAGGCCCAAAGCCUCACGCACCCACGAUGAAUUGGGGGGUUUUGGCCGAAGAACCUCCGAUGCUAAAGUUAGAAUUUUAGAGAGAAAUAGUGUUGAGUAUUUGGGAUUUUUUGUAAGAGAAUUGGAAUCUAUUUAUAGGGAUAGGGGUGGCCAGCCUAGCUAGGGUUUUUGUGUUUGAUUUAGGUUUAAUUAGCCAAUUUAUUUGGCAAUUAAACAUAAAAUGAAUGUUUUGGUGGUUUUUGGAAUUAAUUGGCUUAGUUAAUUAGGGUAAUUAAAAAAGGGAGUGAAAAAGUGGAGAAAGGUUGAGAGAAUUAAGGUUUUACUUUUCUUGAUGGAUUUGGCCGGCCACUUUUAGUAGUUUUAGGUUUGGAUGAGUGUUUCAAUUGAUAAUUAAGGGUUUGAUUAGGUAAUUAAUCCCUUAAUUAGUCAAUUAUUAUGAUUUUAGGAAAUAUGAAAGGAAUAAGUAUAUUAUUUAGCUAAUUGAUUAGCUAAAUAAUGAAAUGGGAAAUAUAUGAAUAAAUUAGGUUUUAAGUUGAUACCUAUUUUGGGCACUUUUGACUUGGUUGAAGAAUAAUUGUCUGCUGCUUGCGCGUAAGAAUCCCGGUAUACAUGAAGGGUAGUUUUGUCUUCUUUUGUCAAAAAUCUACGUGUCGCCUUAUGAUUAUUUUUGGCUCCACAGUUAGGAUUUUUAUUGUUUUAAUUUUUCAAUUUUAUUGAACAUUUACUUUUUACUAUUAGUACUUUUUGUGUCUUAUAAACGUUUUUAAUGUACCGUUAAAGUUUACUUUGUAAAUAACAUUUUCUAUGACCAUCAGUCAUUGUUAUAAACGUGAGCACUCUUGUUUCUUUCAAAUAAAAAAAUAUAGAAAAGAAUAUCUUUUCUUCUUUGCCUUUUUUUUAAAGAAAGACAGGGGAAGCCUCCCUAAUAAAAAUACCCCCACAAAAAGCAGAAGAAAAUGAUAAAAAGGGGGUGACUGUGUGCAAUGCAGGGAGUGCCCUUUCCUUUUCACCUUUCUUUCCAAUAUUUUUUUGUAACUUUGCAGAUUACAGUUGAACUACUGUGUCUGUGUGUUCCUCUGUGUGUGCAUACGUAUGGCUGUUUUGCUUUGGUUUCUCAUACCAAAAAAACCAGCAAACAUCACUUUCUUCUAAAGUCUUCUAAUUUUCUCGCAUUCGUAUAUUUUUCGUGGCUUUUGUGUUCUUCUUAAUUAUCUUCCAUUUUCUGCGAUCGAUGUUUUUCUUUUAAUCUCAUAUUUUAAAACCAGCAAACAUCACUUUCUUCUAAACUCUUCUAAUUUUCUCGCAUUCGUAUAUUUUUCGUGGCUUUUGUGUUCUUCACAAUUAUCUUCCAUUUUCUGCGAUCGAUGUUUUUCUUUAAAUCUCAUAUUUUUUGAAAGAUAAUUUCAUGUUUUUGUGGCUCAGUGUCUCCCUAAACCACGCUUAAAUAUAGGUCAUAAUUUUCUUCAAUCUUCAUUCGUUAGCCAGUGCUCGACUCAUUCAUCAAUAUAUUCAUGUAAGUCCUUAACACCUUAUUUUGGGAUUUUUUUUUCUAUGUUAUGGGAAAUGAUUUGUAGGCAUCUUUUUUUUCUCGUCGUGUAAACUCUCGUUUAUUUCUAGUCUUUGAAUUGAAUGAAAUAAGGAGAAUUGAUAAAUGAUUUUAAACAGGGUGUGUAGAGGGAGAAAAAUAGCGUGUCGAAAUUAUUUUCCUCAUGUGUGUACCGUAUAUAAAUUUUUAUUUAGUUUCUUAUGCGGUGUGAUUGGGUUUUAGACUAUUUCCUUUGUUUUUGUACUGCGUUUGGCUGCUCAGAAAACUGAGGAAGGGAGAAAAAAGUCCCAAACUUUGAAUAUUUUGUGUCAUUACUUGGAACCUAAUAUUAUUUUUUACUACUAACGUAAAGUUCAGUGCUCUGAUGGUAUUUUUUGGCUUGGUUGAGGUGGGUUUUUUUAAAAUAUAUUUUCUUCUGUUUUUAUGUACUAUAUACAGUGUUUGAUAUGUAAUUCUUUUGAACAUGGAAUUGAUAAGUGAGAAAUUAUGUAUGAUUUUGACUUAAGGGUCAUGCACUCCAAUUAUUAAUUUGGGAUGACCUCUCUUCUGCUUGACAAAUUGCUUCAUCCAUAAAGUGUUGAAAUUUCUUAUGUUUAUUUAAGAAAUUAAUUAGAGAUUUGAUUUGAUUUUGUAUUAGGGUAUUUUUGGCAUUUACGAAUUAGGAUUUCUCUAGGUUAUAUCGCUAUAAAUAUAGUUCGUAAAUUAGUUUAAGAAACAAGUUAGUCAAAGUCUAGUUUUACGAGUUAUAUUUUGAAUUUUGUUGCUUAGCCUGAUUUUCAACAUAAAAGUCUAUGUUUGUGGACUUUUCUUUGCCUUCUUUUCCAUUUUGGUCUCGUAAACAUUGCUGAGUAUUUACAGUUAAAAAGUCAUUAUUUCUCAGCUGUGAAUCAUGUACUAAAAUAUAUACAUAAUUAACUUAAUAAAAGCACAACGCACAUCUCCAACGGUGAUAGAUUUGUAAAGAGGAAGCAAUCAUGUCUCAGAUCUUUCAACUCAUUUUCUUUAUUUUCUUGCAUUUUUAUGGAGGGUGUUUAAGGUUUCGUGUUCACUUGAGGUUUCAUUUCUCUUCAGCAGGAUCAUAUGAUGGAGAAAAACAUUGUGAUUAGUGAAAGCGAAAGCAGGGCAAUUGCAAGCCAAAAGUUGGGGGGUUUAGGCACUUUUCUGAGGAAAUGCUUGUUCAGUGUUGUCUCUGUGGGCCCCAUUCCUGAACACAUAGCCUUCAUCAUGGAUGGAAACAGAAGGUAUGCAAAGAGGAGGAACUUGCCUGUUGGGGAAGGCCACAAAGCCGGAUUUUUAUCUCUCAUGUCGAUUCUCCGGUACUGCUACGAGUUGGGAGUGAAGUAUGUGACAGUGUAUGCCUUCAGCAUUGACAAUUUCAAGAGGCGGCCCGACGAGGUGAAAACUCUGAUGGAUUUGUUGCAGGAGAAGAUUGAAGGGUUGCUUGAGAAAGAAAGUAUUGUAAACCAGUUUGGCAUUCGGGUAUACUUUAUCGGUAACUUGAAGCUUUUGAAUGAGUCUGUGAGGGUUGCUGCUGAGAAGGCAAUGAAGGCCACUGCCAAUAAUUCAAAGGCUGUGCUUUUGAUCUGUGUGGCUUAUACUUCUUGUGAUGAGAUUGUCCAUGCUGUUGAAGAAUCCUGCAACAUGAAAAAGAGCGAAAUUCGAGCACAGAUUAACGGAACAAAGGGUGGCUGCAAUGGCGGUAUGGAUGGAGAAGCGGGGUUAGAUACUAGCGAAGCUUGCAAUGAGAAAGUUGAGGGGGAGGAGAAGGAAAACGCAAGGGUUAAACAUGUCGAAAAAGGUGAAGGGGAAUUUCUUGAGAAUGAGAAGCAGCUUCCUGUUGUAAAGGUAGUGGAUGUUGAGAAGCACUUGUACAUGUCAGUGGCACCUGAUCCAGACAUUUUGAUUCGAACUUCAGGUGAGACACGCUUAAGCAAUUUUCUGCUUUGGCAAACUUCUAACUGCCCGUUGUACUCCCCUGCUGCACUGUGGCCGGAUUUGGGUAUGUGGCACUUGGUUUGGGUAAUUCUGAACUUCCAGAGAAACCACUACUAUUUGGAGAAGAAAAGGAAGCAGAUGUAAUGAUCAUAACGCCGUGGAGAUUUGUAAAUCAUGUGAUCAUGCUUACAAUUCCUCUGGAAGUUGGAAAUGUUGAACAAACAGCUUGUAUUUUCCCGGAUUCUUUACUUAUACUAUGCAUAAUAGCGUGUCAAUAUUUGGUGAUCUUAAUUAAUAAUAUAUGCUUCUUACUUACUAAAUCAUUCAUGUUAUAACACGUGUAUAACAAUAUUCUACUGCUCGGUUCAGAAGAAUCGGAACUUAGUAGAAGAUUGGGCCGCAAUGAUUUUAUUAUUGUGAUCUGUUUUUCACACUCAAUGUAACCCUACAUACAGUUGAAGGCGGCUAUAGCUUUUGAAAAUGAUGCAGCAACCAAUUCAACUUUUUUUUAUCAUGGUUGCCGCAUGAAAUUUCCUAACAGAGAGAUAAAGGCCACUUUUCUGGAUAAUCAACCAACCCCCCCUUUGGAUGGUCUUGAUCAAAACCCCAAAAUCUGUGUUUUGUCGAUCGGACGGCAGAUAUUGAGUAAAAAAUUACCUACCAAAUGUGAAUUUAUGCUCUCCCAUUGUAUAAGACUCCAUAUUAGACCUAGACUUUCAUGUAAAAUACAGUGUUCUCCAAGUUCUUCAUGCUAGAACUGCCAUGGCUCUCGGUCUGCGAUUCGAUAUAGUUCUUCUUCCGGUUCUACUUUCCGCCCUCCUCCUAACUAAAGCCGCCUCUAUCUCUCAUCACCACCAUGACCGCCACCACCAUCAUCUCAAGUCCCUCCACUUCACUCUCUUUCAACACGAAACCAUAAACAGAACCGGAUAUAUUGUAGUGAAUGGUGUAACAGGACCAGGCGUAAGUCAAACCACUACCCCUUUUGGCACCGUGUUUGUUUUCCAGGAUCCGAUGACUGUCACAGCCAAUCGAUCUUCGAAAGCAGUUGGGAUAGCUCAAGGAACUUCUGUCACAUCCAGCUUAGAUGGGCUUCAGAGCAUUUCAGUAGCGAAGAUCACUUUGCGCUUGAAGAACCACUCCGGUUCAGUUUCUAUAGUCGGAGGCACGCAUAAUGUGAAGCCCGCCGAUCAUCCUGUUGUGGGAGGCACCGGCGAUUUCCUGUUUGUUCAAGGCUACGUGACAUCGUCCCCUGUCGAUCUCAGGGGCCUAACUGUUGUCUACAAGAUUGCAUUUCACCUUUACUGGCCUCCGUAUGCAACUCAAGCUUCUUAAGCGUGAUUUUGUAUCUCCACUUUUUCCUUAAUGUUAUCGCUAUCUAAGAUUGAAAUGUAAUUUGAUUAGAUCAUCGGUUAAAUCCACGAUGAAAACCGAAAAUAGAUGAAUCAAUCUGAUGUAAAAAUAAAUAAAUGUGGUUUCACGAAACAGGAAUCAAAAUUUCAAUCUCUAAUUAAUCGUCAUAGCGAAGAUACAGAAAAUUUCAAGUUACAAUUUUCAAACCAUGUCCACGAAAAGCUUGAACAAGGCGCAAGCAUUUACAGAAAAAAGAACGAUGAUAAGAAUAUAAGUCGUUACCAAAAGAAGCAGGUGUUUACAUGUCGUGUUAACUUUCGCGUAUAACUGAUGAAGAAUUCAAGACUCUGUGUGGGGUACGAAUCAAAGAAUCAAAUACCAUGAAGCAAGCAGGAAAAGCUUCACGAAUGCAGCUAUAGCAAUACUUAGACCUGCCCAUAUAAAUGAGAAGAACAAGUGCCGUAGAUCGUACCUAACUGCAAAAGCAUUGGAGGCAAAAUCAUCAUUUAGUUGCAGAUUUGCAAAGAUGUUAACGAUCAGAUAUUGUUUCUCUCAAGAAAAUUAACCAACAUUGUCCCGGUCCCAUCCCACCCUUUCACCACCGAAGCCAUGAUUUCUGCAAAUCUAUCUUUGUCACAACAUGACAUGUUUAUAUUUACCUUGCCUCAAUGACAAUGUCGCAAAAAAGAACCCCGUCAAAACGAAAAACAAAGCCAGUGGAAAUGACUGCAGAACAAUGCGCACCUGCAGACAUUGUAAGCCCUCUAAGCACAACCUCUAUAUGCUAGAUAGAGAGAGAGAGAAAGAGAGAAGGUAGAAGAAAAGAGAAAAGGAUGUACUCACAGACUCUAAAGCAUUCAUCUAAUUUGGGAUGUGAUUUAAUAGUUUCUUCAGCCGCAAAAAUUCCAAGCCUUCUAAGUUGGCAUUCCAACAUAUUUCGGGCUAUCAUGCUCUGCAACAAAUCAGACUCUUUUAGGGAAGAAACAUUGGGAAAAAAAGGUAUACAACUAGAACCAUCAAUAAAGUGAUUAUAAAAUAGUAGUCCGGGUUUGGCUGCAUAACUGAAAGAAGUAGUAGCGACAACAGUUAAAAAGUCAUUAUUUCUUAGCUGUGAAUCAUGUACUAAAAUAUAUACAUAAUUAACUUAAUAAAAGCACAACGCACAUCUCCAACGGUGAUAGAUUUGUAAAGAGGAAGCGAUCAUGUCUCAGAUCUUUCAACUCAUUUUCUUUAUGUUCUUGUAUUUAUAUGGAGGGAGUUUAAGGUUUCGUGUUCACUUGAGGUUUCAUUUCUCUUCAGCAGGAUCAUAUGAUGGAGAAAAACAGUGUGAUUAGUGAAAGCGAAAGCAGGGCAAUUGCAAGCCAAAAGUUGGGGGGUUUAGGCACUUUUCUGAGGAAAUGCUUGUUCAGUGUUGUCUCUGUGGGCCCCAUUCCUGAACACAUAGCCUUCAUCAUGGAUGGAAACAGAAGGUAUGCAAAGAGGAGGAACUUGCCUGUUGGGGAAGGCCACAGAGCUGGAUUUCCAUCUCUCAUGUCGAUUCUCCGGUACUGCUAGGAUUUGGGAGUGAAGUAUGUGACAGUGUAUGCCUUCAGCAUUGACAAUUUCAAGAGGCGGCCCGACGAGGUGAAAACUCUGAUGGAUUUGUUGCGGGAGAAGAUUGAAGGGUUGCUUGAGAAAGAAAGCAUUGUAAACCAGUUUGGCAAUCGGGUAUACUUUAUCGGUAACUUGAAGCUUUUGAACGAGUCUGUGAGGGUUGCUGCUGAGAAGGCAAUGAAGGCCACUGCCAAUAAUUCAAAGGCUGUGCUUUUGAUCUGUGUGGCUUAUACUUCUUGUGAUGAGAUUAUCCAUGCUGUUGAAGAAUCCUGCAAUGUGAAAAAGAGCGAAAUUCGAGCACAGAUUAACGGAGCAAAGGGUGGCCGCAAUGGCGGUAUGGAUGGAGAAGCGGGGUUAGAUACUAGCUAAGCUUGCAAUGAGAACGUUGAGGGGGAGGAGAAGGAAAACACAAGGGUUAAACAUGUCGAAAAAGAUGAAGGGGAAUUUCUAGAGAGUGAGAAGCAGCUUCCUGUUGUAAAGGUAGUGAAUGUUGAGAAGCACUUGUACAUGUCAGUGGCACCUGAUCCAGACAUUUUGAUUCGAACUUCAGGUGAGACACGCUUAAGCAAUUUUCUGCUUUGGCAAACUUCUAACUGCCCGUUGUACUCCCCUGCUGCACUGUGGCCGGAUUUGGGUAUGUGGCACUUGGUUUGGGCAAUUCUGAACUUCCAA
rnacentral:lncRNA from 1 species